rnacentral:lncRNA from 1 species
UUUUUUUUUUUUUUUUUUAUCGAAAAUCAAUUUGAUUGCAUUAACUUGAUAUCACAAUGUUUGAUACAACAUCUCUACUUCCUUUGUAAUCAUUUUGUGCACUCUCCUAAAGCCACAUGAAAAAAUUUCCUUCUCAUUCAGCAUUCCUAACUAGUUGAACAACCAACUUUGCUAACCAAUAUGCACACUUGUUUCGAAUAUUCAAAUUGAACCCCUUUGAUUGGUAAGCAUCCAAAAAAGUUGUUUAUGCUUGGAUCUUUGUAUGUAAACACGUCUUGACUAAUGGUAAUUGUCAAAAUUUUUGAAAGUUUAAUUUUACAAUCAUUAUGGUUUUAUCACCGGACGUCUCUUUUGUUUGUCGUCCAUAUUUGCAUUAAAAGAGCCAAAGUUUUCGAGGUUCAAAACUUAAGAGAUAUAUAUAUGUGUGGGAGAAGAGAAAUAAUACCAAAAAUAAUAUAUUAAUCACACACCAUAAAAACAAUGCUAAUGCUUUCAAAUUCAACGCUCUCAAAUUUUCACUCUUCUUGACUAAUAAUAAUAUUAAGACUCCCCAUUUAAAGAUUAGAUGAUUUGGUAAACAAGUCUUACAAUCACCAAAAACUUUCUAAUAAAAUAUUAAUUUCUAAAUAAUGAAACUACCAUAACUUGACUCCAAUAGUAGUAUUACUAAAAUCUUAAUUUGAUUAAAAUAAUGUUAAAUAAUUAUAUGAAAAUUUCUAUUUUUUUAGGACUGAUUUAAUAUGCCAGCAUUGCCUCCUUUAAAUCAAGAUUUCGUGGUUUUACAUGAUGCCCUUGAUAUUUAUGUAACGCAUUAUUUUGCAAUUUUUGUCCUGGUUAGGCAAGUGAGUGCCAUGGAAUAUUCGAUUGCCAUACGAUUUUUAACUAAAAAGAAACCGGUUUAUCCAGCUGAUGGGACCAUCCCACGUCUUCGUCCAAGUAUGGUUUUCGUGGUGGGGAAUGAUCCAUUUCUCCGCAAAAAAGUUUCUCAAUUUGGUUUGUAACAUAUUACUUGUAAAUUAAAUUGAUCUUUCAGAGCAUUUAUUUCUGCAUGACUUUGAUAACUGUACUGUCCAGUGAUGUGUUUUACCUGUAUUACUAUGACUCUGAUAACUAGGUGUUCUAACUAUGGCCCGUUUGUCUAAGUAAAUUUUUUAAGUGUUUAUCUAAAAUUUUACUGUAAUUUACUAUAAAAGUUUUUUAAAAAUUUUUUGAAAUAGGUAAACUUUUGAAUAUUUUGAAGUGCAUAGUUUGAAAAUUUUGAGAAAUUUUUUUAGGUUACUGUAGCUAAAAGUUUCAAAAAACUUGUAGCAGACAAACUUGGUAAAAAACUCAAGUACCAAACAGGACCAUACAUUGACAAUAUUCACACUAUUACUGCUGGAUCCGUGAUACAUGUAUAAAAGUUCGAUUUUAAAUUUAAAUCUUACAUAAUUAUAAUUCAUCCGAUGUAGGAAAGAUUUUAAUCCUAUUUAAUUUUAAAUACAAUAAGUUCUCCUCUCUUCAUCAGUAUUCACAAGAAUAAUAAUAAUGUUAACUUUAAAAAUUUGUCACAUUUGGUCCCAUGGCAGGAGUAAUGAUGUGUGUGACAUGACAUAUGAUUGUACGAGUAAAAUUUUUCCAAACCCUGGAUACCUUUAUGGUGGGAACAUGCCUAUGGUAGGAAGGCUGGCAGAGAGUGACACGUGUUGACGUUAUAUACAGUCCAAACAGAGACGUUUAAUUGUUGCACAACGCGUGAAGAGGAAAUAUACGAGAAUCGUCUGCGGAUGCAACCAUAAAGCACUGGCUUCCGUACGAGUUGGGCCAGAAAGUGUUAUUGCAUGUUAAAAUCAGAGGCAUUUAUGUAUUUGCAAAUAUACCUAUUACCAAUGGAAAAAUGUUGCAAAUGCCUUGGACAAAAAAUGUGCGUAAAGAAGGUACCGAAAUUUUAAGAAAUAAUAAAUGAUUAUCGGACACACGUGGAGGAUAAUAAUUUGGAAGAAGGAAAAGUGGAGGUAAACGAAAGGAUUCAAGCCUUCAUUAUAUUUAUAUACAUAUAUAAAUUUAGUACCCAAGUGUUCAGCUUAAGCAUCCGAGAAAAUGGUCCCAUAACUAUCGAUAUGGUAAACAACACAGUUUUAGACAUGAUAUAAUAGGUUCUAAAAAUUUUAGUGACCAUUUGAUUAUCCGUUAGACCUAUCCACUUGAAUAGGAUUACGGGUAAAAAUAAGGGAGUAAAUUUGUCAUUCAAAAUAGUAAAUUAAUGUAAUAAAUUAGUAACUUUUGCAGUCGAAAAGGUAAAUUGUAAUUAAUAUGAAACAUAUUUUUUAAACAGAUAAAUUAUAAUAGUAUAUCCCAAAUAUACUUUUGAGGGAGUAAGUUUAUUUGAAGUAAAAAUAUGUUUUUAUACAUAAAUAGUGAGUUUUAGUUAUAACAUAGUAAAUUUGAUUAAUGACAAAAACAUGCUAAUUUAUGGCCAUAAUAUUGUAUUAUGCUUAAAAAACUUAUACGUAGCCCAUAUUUUAGAGUUAUUUAAAAUAACAUAAAAAUGUAUUAUUAAUGAUUAAAACUGAGUACGUUACUUAGUCAGUACAGUUAUUAUACUUGUAUACAUACUUGAUGGUAUGUGUAUAAAUAAGCAUUUUUGAGAUUUAUGGGGAAAAAUUGAUUUUUUCUUUUGCAGUUUAAAAAAAAAGGUAAGAGAAAAUCUUUUUUCUUAGAGCACAAAAAUCCACAAGUCAAAAUUGUUGGUCUAAAGGGGAAAGAAACAUUCUGAAUAUCAUUGUUUAUAGUACUAAAUAAAUUAGAUGUAAAAUGCUCGUUAAAAGUUGGUGCGUUGACAUAUAAUAAAGAAAAGACAUAAAGAGCGGGCCAUUUACAGAAAAAGUUGUCAUUCAUAAAAAUAGCAACGCUUUACGAUUUUUUUAUCAGUCUUGCAACGUAUGAGCAAAAUGGCAAUAAUUAAAAUAGUAUUUAAUUCGAAUUAUACAUAUUUCAUUAAUUUUUUCCAUUUAAAAAAUGAAUGAGAAUCUUUUAUGAGAAAGCACAUAAGUCAAAGAAAUGGUGUAAAAGGGAAAAGAAUAGCAUAUACGUACAGUACCUAUAGUUUAUGUUCGAAGAACUGUAGUGCUAUUUUUGAAAAAUAUCCCAAAAAAUAUGUAAUUGAAAUGGAACCGAUUCUUCACUAUUUAAAAUAUCAAAUCUGUGAUUGUGUUGUAACUGUUAUCCAUUGGUAUCGUAAAGUAUCAUUUUCCCGUCAAAUUUCACCUCUUUAACACCAAUUUUCUCAUAAACCAAUUCAUUUAUCGGAUAAAAUACAUGAAAAUUCAGUUUUGAAUAAAACAGUAGCUGUUUAUGACUUUCCUCUAUUAUAUGAACAGAGUACCCAUUUUUGCAUAAACAAAUUUAUUUAUCGGAUGAAAUAAAAAUAAAUUCAUUGUUCAAUAAAACACUAAUUCUUUAUGCCUUUCCUCUAAUAUAAAAACAGAGCACCCAUUUCAGCCCCUCUACAAAAAUUCCACCUCUUUAACACCAAUUUUCCCAUAAAUCAAUUUAUUUGUCGGAUAAAAUACAUGAAAAUUCAAUUUUUCAAUAAAACACUAGCUCUUUAUGGCUUUCCGCCAUUAUAAGAACAGAGUACCCAUUUUUGCAUAAACAAAUCUAUUUAUCGGAUGAAAUUAAAAUAAAUCCAUUGUUCAAUAAAACACUAACUCUUUAUGGCUUUUCUCCAUUAUAAAAACUGAGUAUCCAUUUUAGCCUCUUUAGAAAAAAAAUCUUGAGUUUUAUCCUUAGUGAAAAAUGUAUGAUACGUAAUUUUUUCACUGUAUUGAAUUUAUAUGAUGGUCAAUUAAAUGGGUCAAUUGGAUUAGUGUGCAGCAGUUUUGUGAAUGAUUCUGAGAGUAAACUAUAUUAUGGCAAUAAAAUACAUUGAAUUGUGAAAAUUAUUAUUUCUGCAUGCUUCUAAAUUUUGGAUAUGUGACUUUCGCUAUUGCGAAUAUCUUAAAUUAACAGUUAGUUAUUACUAUGAGUAAUGUGGUAAGUGUGAGUUGUGAAUGUCAGUAAUAACUGUUAGUUAAUACUAUCAGUAAAGUCAGCAGUAAAUGUGAGAUGUUAAUUGGAAUUUGCAGAUAUUAAUUUGACAUGGUUGGUUAUUAUCUGUUAGUUAAAUUUCGGGAGUUUUAAUUUUAUUAGUUAGUGGGGAAAAUGUGAGGGAAAUAUGGGAAAAACAUGAGCAUGAUUAUAGGAUUUGUACGAGCAAUUAAAGGAUUAGUUGUGAGAUAAACAUUUCUUAAUUUUAAAAAUGUAAAAAUGUAAUAAAAUAGUAUUCGAACUUUUGACAAUUUGAAAAGCUCCUUAUCUAAAAUUCUCUCUGCAAUACAUAUAGAUAGAUAUAGAUGUCUUUUUUUUUUGGUGGUUGAAUGUCAUAUUCGCGAACUAUCUGCAGAAAAAAAUAAAUUUGUAGACUAAACUAAUUUUGUUAUACCAACUCUGUUAUUCUUAUUAUUGUAUUAAUUGUUAUGCUAUUUCUCUCAUUUUGUUAGGUCUACAUUAAUGCAAGUUUAAUUCCUAUUAUGUCUUAUGUCCCAGAAAAUACAUAUUAUCCUAUUUAGGUGGAUACGUCCAACUAAUAAUCAAAUUGAUGCUAAAAAUUUAGAAUGAAUAAGUUGCUUUUGCAUAAUGGUUGGAAAGUUUUCUUGAGACUUUAUGAAUGAGGUGUCUUGCAGUUGCCAAAAGAAUUUGUAGCAUAUUUUUGUAUUGGAAAUGGAGUAAAAACUUGCUAUGGGUUACUUUUCUGUAUUUCAAUUUCAUCGUAAAGGGUAAUUUAUUGUUCAACCUAAUUUCAUUCUGAUUUUAUCUAACUAAUAAAUUAACGUAUGAAAAUAGAUAAUUUAUGGAGGAAAGCCAUAAGUAGCUGGUGCUUUAUUGAAAUAUUGAUUUAUUUUUAUUUUAUCCAAUAAAUAAAUUUGUUUAUGAAAAAUGGGUACUCUAUUCUCAUAAUGGAGGAAAGCCAUAAAGCUAGUGUUUUAUUGGAAAACAGAUUUAAUUUUAUUUUAUCCGAUAAAUAAAAUUUUUAUAUGCAAAAAUGGGUACUGUGUUUUUAUAACGGAGGAACGUGAUAAAGAGAUAGUAUUUUAUUGAAAAAUGGGUUUAUUUUUAGUUUAGCCGAUAAAUAAAUUUUUUAAUGACAAAAUGGGUACUUUGUUCUUAUAAUGGAGAAAAGUUAUAAAGAACUAGUGUUUUAUUGGAAAACGGAUUUCAUUUUAGUUUAGUCGAUAAAUAAAUUUUGUUUAUGUAAAAAUCGGUACUGUAUUCUUAUAAUGGAGGAAAGUGCUAAAGAGUUAGUAUUUUAUUAAAAAAUGGGUUUAUUUUAAGUUUAGGCGAUAAAUAAAUUUUUGUGAGAAAAUGGGUACUUUAUUCUUAUAAUGGAGAAAUGUCAUAAAGAACUAGUGUUUUAUGAGAAAACGGGUUUAUUUUUAUUUUAUCCGAUAAAUAAAAUUUUUGAUGAGGAAAAUGGGUACUGUGCUCUUAUAAUGGAGAAAAUUCAUAAAGAGCUAGUGUUUUAACCUAAAAUCGGUUUUAUUUUAUUUUAUUUUAUCCAUUAAUUUUUCUUGGGAAAAAUGAGUACUCUGUUCUUAUAAUGGAGGAAAGGCAUAAAGAGCUAGUAUUUUAUUGCAUAAAAGGUUUAUUUUUUUCAUCCAAUAAAUAAUUUUUUUAAGGGAAAACGGGUGUUAAAGAGGUGGUAUUGGAUGAAAAAAUGAUACUUUAGAAUACCAAUAGAUAACAGUUAAAACACAAUCACAGAUUUGGUAUUUUAAAUAAUGAAGAAUCGGUUCCGUUUGCAUUGCAUAUUUUUCGGGGUAUUGUCAAAAACAUCACUGUAGUCCUUCGAACGUGAAAUACAAGUACUGUACAUAUCUGCUAUUCCUUUCCCUUUUAGACCAAUCAUUUUGACUUAUGUGCUUUCUGAUAAAAAUUUUCAAUUAUUUUUUUAAUUUGCAAAAAAUAAAUUAAUUCUGUAUAAAUCGAAAAGAUUACUAUUUCAAUUAUUGGCACUUUGCUCAUGCUUUGGAGGACUGGUAAGAAAGCCGUGAAGAGCUGGAAUUUUUAUUAAUGAAAACUUUUUCCAUAAAUGGCCUGAUUUUUAUGACUUUCCUUUAUUAUAUGUCAAACUACCAAUUUUUAACCUGCAUUUUACAUCUAUUUAUUUGGUACUUUAAACAAUGUUAUUCAGCUGUAUCUUUCCUUUUCAGACAAACUAUUUUCACUUGUGAAUUUUGGUGCUCUGCGAAAAAAAAAUUUUCGCUUACUUUUUUUUUUUUAAACUGCAACAGAAAAAAUUUAAUUAUGUAUAAAUUUCAAAAAUACUAAAUUUUUCACAUACGAUCAAGUAUUUAUACAAGUAUAUUAACAUUACUUACUAAGUAAGGUACUCAGUUUUAAUCAUUAAUAAAACAUUUUAGUGUUAUUUUAAAUAAUAAAAUAUGGGCUUGGCAUAAGUUUUUUAAGCAUAAUAGAGAAUUUUUGCCAUAAAUUAGCAUGUUUUUGUCAUUAAUCAAAUUUACUAUAGUAUAAGUAAAAAUGAUUAUUUAUGUAUAAAAACAUACUAUUACUUCAAAUAAACUUACUCCCUCAAAAGUAUAUUGAGGAUAAAAAUUGUAAUUUAUCUCUUUAAAAAGUAUGUUUCGUAAUACUUUCAAUUCACGUUUUGGGCUGCAAAAUUACUAGUUUAUUACGUUAACUUACUAUUUUAGAUGACAAACUUACGUCCUUAUUUUUACGCAUAAUCCUAUUCAAGUGGAUAAGUCCAACAGGUAAUCAAAUGGUUGCUAAAUUUAUUAUAAUCUAUUAUAAUAAGUUUUUUUACCAUAACGAUAGUCAUGGGACCAUUUUCCCGGAUGCUUAAGCUGAACACUUGGUCACUAAAUUUAUAUAUGUAUAUAAAUAUCACUAAAUUUAUAUAUGUAUAUAAAUAUAAUAAAGGUUUGAAUCCUUUGGUUUACCUCCACUUUUUCUUCUUCCAAAUUAUUAUCCCCCACGCGUGUGCGAUAAUCAUUUAUUAUUUCUUAAAAUUUCGGUACCUUCUUUAUGCACAUUUUUUGUCCAAGGUAUUUGCAAUAUAUUUCCAAUCGUAAUGGGUACAUUUACAAAUACAUAAAUGCCUCUGGUUUUAACAUGCAAAAACACUUCCUGUUUCAACUUGUACGGAAGUCAGUGUGCUUUUUGGCAUUUGCAGACGGUUCUGGUAUAUUUCCUCUCCACGUGCUGUACAAUAAUUUAACGUCUCCGUCUUCCUACUAUAGGCAGGUUCCCACCAUAAAGGUAUCCCUUCUCUUUCUCCCAAAUUGAUGGGUUUGAUGUGAUUGGACCCGAUGUUCCAUUGAUUUUCUUUUCGAGGUAAUUGCAUCAACCAAGUCUCGCAUGGAGAAGCACAUGAGUAUGCUUUACCAAUUGUUACAUCAAUAAUGAGAUUUUAGGGUACCAACUUAGAUAUUUGUAGUAAAUAUUAUUAUGAUGUUUGUGAUGUACAUACAAUUUGUGAAGACAUAAAUUUUAGAACUUGUAAUAAAAGAACAUAAAAGAGAUGACAAAUUCUCUAAAUUGAAUCCGUGAAUGGCACAAUGGUGUAACACGUUUUACGAAUUCAUAUGGUACAUUUUCACAUCUCAAUAUUUCAUGUAUACCAUAUGCAACAAAUCAAUCAGGUGUUAGAAUAUAUAUCUGGAUUUGGCAGGCUUCUUUCAUUAGUUUUUGAUGAAUGUUUUGAUGAUCUUUUUGUAUUCAUCUUUUUGUAAUAAAUUCAUCACCUUCAUGCUACGUAUGAUGCUCCUGCGCGAUGUGCGAAUUUACAAAUAAUUCAUUCUUGUGACCCACGUUUCAAUUUUCAUUCUUUUCUAGGAACUAAUAUGCCAUCGUUGAAUCGUCAAGUGUUCAAUAUAAAGUGAUUGAUCUAUAGAUGAAUACAGUCCUGAUUCUAAAUUUGAGGUUCAAAUUCUUGCACCUUAUAGUUAAAUCUUGUAAGUCAGAGUUAGUGAUACACCUCCAAAAUUUUGGCUUCACUGAGAUCUAAAAUCCGUUAUCUGUCAACAAGCAAAUUAAAAAUAUAAACUGAAAUUACAAACCAAUUUGUAUGUAGGCAUAUUCGAACUAAGAUCAGAUGUAGUUAUACUAAUUACUACAGUAACAUCUUUCUAUAAAUUAUCAAAAAAUUGGCACAUAAUAUAAACUUUUAAGUUUAAUUUUAUGCAGUAUUACCGUCGUUGAUCAAGAGAAGGGGGAAAAAAAGAGAAAUGCUACAUUUUAAAUUUAGACUUGAGAGCUAAUUAAUUAUGAAACAUAAGAACUAUAGUCCAAAUUCCUUCCAGAGUCUGUUGUAUAAUUUUUAUGGAUUUUGUCAUUUCGUGAAUUUUUACUAAAUAGCGAAUUAGUGAAUCUCCCUCGUUUUGCCAUUAAACCUUCCAAUCAAAUUCGCAGUAACACUCAUAAUGAUCAACCUUACCAAGAUCCCAUUGUAUUUCGGAAGCUUGUAGCAUUGGUCAUGAUAAAACCCCAAUUUAGUGUUUCUUCUCCGUGAUAAUGCCUACGUCUACAACUCAUUCGAAAAAAAUUAGGAUUACAUGUAAUAAGUUUGAUAAUGAACAUCAACAAGGAGGGAGAAAAGAGAUCAUUGGCAUUUGGACUUUUUGCUUUCCUAAAGUAAUAGAUGCUGCCAUAGAAUUUGCGGAUGAUUAAUAAAAAUAAAUCAAUAUAUGAAGAAUAGAUUAGAAUUUAAGGGGUUUUUCUAACUAAUGGGUUAUCCAUUAACAUACCUAACAUUCACCUAACUUAACAUAUAUAUACACAUACUAACAAUUAUUAUUCUCCCUUACAUUUGUAUACUUUCUCUAUUUAAUCUUACCUACCAUCUCUUGUAUUUAUUUACUUUCUCUAAUUAAUAUUACAUUUCAAAUAAUAUGACAUCUGAAAUAUAUCUUAAUGAGUAUCCUAUGGGCAUAGGGCACCUGUUAAAUAUAUCCUUGUCUAUUUAUCUAUUAUUUGGAAAGAAUGAUUAUAGGUACUUCUAAAAAUUAAUGACAACCUAGAAAAUGGUAAAACCACAUCUAGGCAACAGUUUUCCCAAGGAAACUUUUGAAGUUUGAGGCUUGAACUACAGCUAUCAAAUUAAAAAAAAGGGGGGGGGGGGGACUAUUCAAAGUUGGUUUAUGUUACCAAAAAGUUCAACUUAUGAAAAAGAUCAAACAAGAUGGCAAGAGAAAUCUUCUAAAAUACUAACUUGUGAAAAUAAACCAUACUUUAUUGCUAAAUCUAAGUUCACAAAAUCUUGUUAAAUCGCAACAUGGUCCAUCUCGUAAAAUGGCAACGAAUUAAUUUCAACUUUUCUUCUACAUACACUAAACAUGUAAAGAAGGACUUAAUCAUAGGUUAAAGCUUAUAAUACAAGAAAGCAUAAUUUUCUAUUUUUUUUAUUGGAUUAAUCUUCUAUACACUAACAUAUUUUUUUUAGAUAUGUUCAAACACGUUUGAUAAUAAAAAAUAGAACAUUUGAAUCAAUUAAUUAGCAUUGAAUUUUUCAGACAAAACUUGUUCCAAAAAUAAGCGAUAAGCUAGUCACUUGUCACUUAAUGUAAUAUACAUUGAAUGAACUCAGAUUUCAAAUUUCAAAUUUGCAAUAUCAGUUUUAUCAAAUACACCCUAAGAGUUAAUUUAAAAAAAAGAAAUGAAAUUAAAAAAGCGUUUAAAUGUAAUAGAGAUAAUAAAGUUGAGCUAUAAACUUAAAUGAUACAUUAUAUUUAAUAUAAGUGCACUAACCAAUGUUUUAGCCAUCAAAAUCAAAUUUUGAAUGGCAAACUACUUUUAGGCCCUUGAGCUUUAACAAUCUAUAUUUUUUUUAUCCUCCAAUAGUUGUUGACAUCCUUUUUGUCCCUGAACUCUAUUAAAUGUAUACUUACAACUCUUUCGUCAAUUUGAGCCAUUAACCUAACGAAAAGAGCAUUACAUACAAUGUACAAGUGAAAAUUUAGUAUAUAAAAAUAUAUUUUAUAUAAAAUAAAAUAUUUAUAAUAUGUAUAAAUAAAUAUAUUUAAAUUAAUAUAAUAUAUAUAUCCUAUACAUAAUUGAAAUAUACAAAUUGAAAUAAACAUAUUAAAUAUGUAUUUGGAGUUGUUUAUGAUAUAUUGUUUGGAUAUGAGUUUUUCUCCUGGAAUAGUACUGUUUGGAUUGCCAUUUUCUGCCAGAAAAUUGCGUCGUUUUCCGUGAUCACAUUUUUUUAUUACCUUUUCCCCUCACAUACAUCAAAUCGCUACAGUAUUUUUUUCAUAGAAAAUGACGGAAAAUGCAAUCCAAACGGGACAGGUACCCAAACUCAUGAUUUUGAAUUCGAUACAAAUUGAGUUGAGUGGAAUCGAAUUUUGACUUAAUUUUAUCAAGUUUGAUGUCGAUCUCAAACUCAACGAGUUGUCAUUAUAAAGUUCGAGUUCGAAUUUAACCUUAGAUUCAAACCGAGUCGAACUCAAUCUUGAGUUUACUCGAGCUUAAAACAUAAAAAAAUAAUUAUUUUAUUUUAAAAAAUGAAUAAUAUACUAGUAUAGUAUUUUUUUGUUAACAAAUAAUAAAAUGUUAGGAAUACAUAUCUAAUUUCAUCACUAACAUAUAUAUAUAUAUAUGUAUAUAUAAAAUAAAGCGACUCGCAAGCUAACGAGUUUUUUUUGCUCGAACUCAAGUUAAUUAGCUUGAAUUUGGGUCGAGUUCAAUCAAGUUUUGACCGAGCCAAUUCAUGAGUGCAGGUGAAUAGUUUAAUUCAUUUGUAACUCUACUUUUAUCCCAUUUUAGUAUCUCGUUACUUUAUAUAUAUAUAUAUAUAUAUAUUUACUUUUAUUUCCCCAGUACACCCUUCCCUUCUAUAGCUAUCAAGUAUAAGAUUCGAAACCUAAUCGCAACGAAGGCUCCAAGAGCCAUCCUGUAAGUCUUCUGUCCAGUGAACGAUCGGUUGUUAAUAUCCCAUUACAUAAUGCGGUCUUUACCUUUAUGGUUGGUUUGGUUUCUAGAUUGGGUUGCUGCUUUCGACUUUUCUGAAAAAAUUUACGUCAUAAAUCCAAGAUAAAUCUUCCUCCAUAAAACAAACUUCAUUGUCUUUUGCAUCAACAAGCAAAUAUGAAACCAAAAAAUAGUAGGAAAGUAGAAAAUUGGUUGUACUACUUUAGGGCUUUAGUUUGCAUGUCUAAUUGAGGAAAACCUUUUGAUCAACCAAUCAAACGCAGGAAUCGAGUUGUUUUUCCUCAACUUUUUCAUAACCAUUUUUUACUCUACUAAAAUGAUUUAUUUUCUUUUUAAAAGUUUAAGUCAUUUUAAUUGAAUAGGAGUUAUGAACACUACUAUCCACCAUAUAAUAAUUCCUAAAUUUGUUAUCAAUGCAGCCUUUGCUAUGCAAAGCAAAAUAAAAUAAAUUUGUGCAAUGAAAAUAAUAAGAGUCCAAUUUUCGCGUAUUAUCUUAAAAGAGUGAAGCAAAUUGCUUGAACCAAUCAUUGCUCUCAUCAAUAUGUAAUCUGUACUUGGUAAACUAUAACGAGUAACUGCAUCUUGGUAAUUAUCUUAAUUCAUCCACUAAUAAAUAAAAUUUUUUGGUCAAAUUAAAUGAUGUGAUCUUGUAUAACAACUUAUUUGUUUAAAUUCAAAUUUUUUUAUAUGACUAACUUAUGCACUUCUCUUGAAUGCGAUCACACGAGAUACAACAUCUUUCAAAACACUAAUCUUUUUCAUGCGACUUGAAACUUUCUCUCUUCGCUAUUGUCAAUUUUAAGCCUUCUUCUACAAAUGAAAAGUACCGUUUCAAUUGCUAUUUUUUGAAAUUUUUGUAGAAAAAGAUACUGUAGUAAUUUAAUGUAUGUGAGAUAAAAAAUUGAUUGAAAAUAUGUUCACGAAAAGGGUAAAAAAAAUUUUUGGAGAAAAAUUACAUUCCAAACAGAUUCACUGCAACAUAAUGAACUAGAAAUAUAUCCAUGUAUUUCUUAUACUAGAAAUAUUAAUUUUUUAUUUGCUAGUAUAGUGGGGAGCUUCCUUAGCUAUACGUAUGAUUUUUUUGGUUUGACUUUCAAUGCCUAAAAGUGAACGAAUUCUUCAUUUAUGAUUUUCCCUCGUGGGAUGGCAUUAUUUUUUUAGACGUUAGUGAUCAGUUUCAUAAAGCACGUAUGCAUUGAACAUGGAAGCAUCCAAAUUUGUCGAAAAACAAGCUAAUAGAUUACCUCACCGGCUUUUGUCCUUUUUCAAGAUUAAAAAAAAAAUUUGUUCUAAGUAUUAUAUUAUUCUCACAAUUUUGUAUAACUUCUUUUCGAAUUUUAUACAAUAUAUGGAAUUCUUUUUUCUUUUUUUUUUUUACAAUUGUGCUAGCUAGCAAUCUGUAUAUGUUAGUUACAGUCUCUUUUCAUUAUCAAACAAACAUCUUGUCAUACUGUCAUCAUCCAUCUUUGCUAAUUCCUGAAAAAAAAACAGAAAAAUUUAAAAAAAGAAAAGAAAACAAAAGAAUUGGAAUUCUCUGGUCAGAUUUGGGUGCUACAUGUGACAGCCCCACCUUCCCCUAAGGCGAACCAAAGGGGUUAGCGGACUGCCUGCCCAGCUCUCGCCAGGACUAACGAGUAGUAACACGCGAUUUAAAACGUUUCGGGAAAGUAAAGUGCGCUCGGACAAGCCACAAGUAUCAAAAUAAAAAAAAAUAAAAAAAACGAAAAUGAUGAAUAGUGCCUGGAACAGUGGAAUCCGGCCGGAAUCUGGCCGGAUUACAGGCCGGAUUCUUGGCCGGAUACUGUCCAGUAGCUAAACUCCCGGAUUCAAAAUUUUCCCCAGGCAAUCCGGCCAGAAACUGGCCGGAUUCUUGGCCGGAUUCAGACCUGUGCCUUUCCGUCAAAAAUUUUUCUUUUGCCGUUUGAAAGCCGAACCUGUCCGCAACCCUACCAAACAUCAUAAAUACAUAUACAACGCAACAUUUAGCGUUUACAAGUCAAAUGGCAUAUGAAAGUCACUCAAAAGUUAAUACAUGUACGAUUGCCAAUUGAAAAGUGAAAACGGCCUCAAAGGCACAUUUAAGGUUCCAUUCAAAAACUAUACAUGUCAAAACUAUAGUAAUCUAGUUCAUUCGGCAACCAAUUCAAAAGUCAUUCCAAAAACAGACAGAUUCCUGUAAGGAAAACAAAAGGAACGGGGUGAGCUAAUUGCCCAGUGAGAAUACAACUCAAACAACCAAGUUCAUAGAUGCAUCCAGCUUAACAGUCCAAUUUACCAAAGUUAAGUAAAGCCACACAUCGAUAAUGAGGAUAAAAGGAUACGGGUGGCUCUCAAGAGCCCUUUCCCUCGUUCGCAUUUCUUGAUCGAACACCAUUGACUCUCCGUCAAUUUUCAACAAUAACCAACCGUAGACUCCACUUUACCUCCAUUCCAUUCCACCUAACAUUCCCCAACCGGGCCCGCAAUCCAAACACAUGCAUUGUGGUAUUACUCGAGUAAACCGGAAUCGAGAGUCUAUCAUACUACAAGAUUCCAUAACAUUGCCCCAAGGCACAUUAAUUGACACGACCAAGCCCUCGCCGGCUCGAUUCAAUCAAUUACCAAUGGGGUUGAGUUCAUUGAUAACAUUUGUAGUCGUUGGAGACUCGUCCAAACGAUACCAAGUCAUGUAUUUCUUUUCAUAUAACAUUUCAUAUAACAUUCCAAUAACUUUCCAAUAACAUGCAAAACAACAAGUGAAAGUGAUAAAGUACACUCUCACUUCAAUCAAUUAACAUUCAACAUCUCAAGUUCAAGUAUCAAAGUCAUAUAAUAACACAUAAGUGAGUAGUAUACUCACCACGUUAGCAAAUGCGGUUUCAUGCACUUCCGUCAAAAGAACGUUGUGCACCACCGUCACGCCCUAAAAACAUGCAAACAAAUACAAUGAGACUCGAUAACGAGUCCUAAACCAAGGCCAAACAUGACCCCAAUAGAGUUCCAUAAGCAUAUACAAACAAUCAAGGAAACCAGAAAUUUCAGAAAUGUAACUAACUUGGCCCUGAAAAAAACAGUUUUUGUCCUCAUUUUGCGGUAAUGGCACAAAUUGCACUACGCUUAUCGGAUGAGGGUACAAGACCCACCAUCUCGAAGCUAAAAGACAGGGCUACAACAUCACAGGAGGUCACUCAACCCAGUUUUGAGUGCAAACAGGUCAAAAAUGCAAGAUACUUCAUCAACAACAUAAAACAGAUUCACCAAAACGCAUUCUAGUGGAAACAUCAUAACUCAGGCUCUACAAGUCCAAAUCCAGAAAUUCUAAAACCAGAUGAAAGCUAAGAAAUAGGGCUAAAUUUCAUCAGAAGGCCUCAACAUCCAAUUCGGAAUAAAUUCCAGCCAAAACAACUAAUUACAGGCACAGUUCUCACUUUCGGGUAAAACCAGAACAGCAAUAGUAAUUUCGACUUAUCUCAUUCUACACUACUCCGAUUGACCUGAAAUUUUGUAGACACCUCUAAAAUGUCAUUCCCUACAACUUUCAUGUUUUGAGCUAAGGCCAAUUCGGCCUCUAUCUAGGACCUAAAAAUUCGGACAGAAUGCUCCCUUAAGAACCCUAGUUUUUUCAAUUUUCAUCCAAAACAGAAAUUGGUUGCAAUUAAUCACCUUUCUCACCUCCUUAAGUCAUUAUAAACCAUUUCCAAUCAUCAUAGAUAGCCACAUAAUCAUGCUUAUAAUAAAACAGAAAAAUCCCCAAUAAAUGGAAAACUUCACCACUUCAUCCAAAAUCAAGAAAUAAACCACAAAAUUCAACAUUUUAACUACCACUAAGCACAAAUUAAGCUUCAUUAGGUGAAGGAGAAGGUUCAAUCACUACUCACCUAGUAAAACAAGAGAGGGAGAGUUGCUUGUCACCUUAGCUUCCCCAAACACUUCACCAAACAACUUACUAACACCUAAUGAAGAAGUUUUAUGGAGUAGAAACAAGCUUAAGUGAUUGUUUUGGAGGAUUUGAGCUAGAUGGAAGCCAAACUUUGAAGAGUUUUCUUUCUUCCUUUGCUAGAGAAGGCCGGCCAAGAUGGAGAAGAAAAGAGUGAAUUUUUGGUAAUUUUUGAGAUAUUUUAGUCAAAUAGCAAAAAGGUGAAUAGUUGUGGACAACUCAAUCCAAUCACAUGGUGACACUUGUCAUCUCAUUUAAUGACUUGCCUAACUUUUUUUGUCUCUCAUACACCUAUCCACUUGGUACCUCUAAAUAUCUCACAACACCCGAUAAAAUAAUUCCAGUAUCCAAAACACCCGAUUAACUUUUCGCACUAGCGGGUCCCACGUCCGAUAUAUAUCCUUAAUUUUUCAAAAACUAUCCAAUACUAGAAAAAUCAUCUAAAAAUUAUAUCUGCUCCUUAAAAUUACCUAGAAAAUUUUCUAAUCACGAAAAUGCAGAAAACAAGCCAUGAAAAAUUCUAAAACCUAGAAAAUGAAAUUUACGGGUUCUCACACUACACAAGUGGAAUAUUCAUGAAUUUAUUCCGUUUCAUCGAAAUUAAUUUUGUCCACUGGUGAUGUUGACAAAAAUAUUACGGCUGAUAUUAGGCUUAGAAGUUCAACUUGAUUUCUCUUCUUCUUCCUCAAAUGUGCCUAAAUGCAUUGGAUCAUUGAAGACGGAAUGGAAGGAUGUUGUCUGCUGGCUGCCAAGGGAAAAAAAAAUGGCAUUGAAAUGACUCGACAAUGGCGGCAGACGAAUUUUCUAUAGUACGAUUACGAUUUAUUCUUUUCUCAUUAAUAGGAGUACAUGACUGGAGUGGAGCCGUCCAAUGGCUAUGUUGGUGUAUUUUUAAUGAAGCCAUUACAUUAAUCCUCCUUUUUUUUUGUCUUUUUUAACAAUUUGCUUUUUUUUUUAACAAGGGAAAAAGAUCAUUUCGUUCAAAUAAAUCUGCACUAAUGACAGAAAAUAUAUCAAACAAAACAUGAGACAGAUAUAUAUAAAUUUGAAAUCAAUAGAUACAACACAUCUAAAAAACUAAUACAAAUAAAGAUGACAUUUUGUAUCUUUAGAAGUAGAAGUAGAUUUUUUGAUCGAAAAUUGUCACAUCAAUUAAGUGACCGUUUUAUUUAAGGGGAAAAAAUAUUUAGUAUAGCUAGAACAGGAUGUAAUGACCAUUCACUCUAUCCUUUGAACAUUUUUAAAUCCUAAGAUGAUGCUUUUCCUUUUUCUGAAGAGAGAGAGAGAGAGAGAGAGGAGGGAUUUUGUUGGGGUUCUUGGAGGAAGUUGUGGCAGAUCUAAUUUCAAGCUAAUAAAUCACCCUGAUUCAAGCAUCUUUUUCAACCAUUAUAAGUUGGCAUCUAUAAGAUGCAAGUUUGGUCGUAGAUCGAGGAUUCAAAUUUUUGUGCCUGUAUUAAAAUUUGAAAUUCGAAAGUGUACAAUAGUGCACUCAUUUAGUUUAGAGAUAGGAUCAUCUACCUCUGACCCCUCUUAAUUCAGUUGGAUCAUUUUCUAACAUACGUUAAAUUAGGAGUAAAUCUAUCUUACUAUAUAUUAGAGUAUCAGUAAGAAUGAUGGCUGUACAGUUGAAAAAAAUGGUGUAGUUAAAUUAACGAUUUUGGUUGACUUCAAUAUGCAGGAAAUCGUACCAAUUGAUAGAGGAGCAUCCUUUUGUGUGUGUGUGUGUGAAAGAAGGGGCAUCCUAGAAAAGUAUAAAUGAGAAACUGCAAUUGCUGUCUUACUGCUGAAUCAUGAUUGCACUUAACUGCAAUGAGUUCAGACAAUCUUUUAGUACAAACUUAGGGAAAAUGUGGUACAAAUGAGGAUUCUUAAAUGGAAAAGUAGCUGUAUUCCUUGAAGGGCUGCUUGUUCAAUGCUGAUGAUUGGAAGUUUGACAUCUUUUUUUUGUUUUUUCAGAUGGUAAACUCAACCGGGCUGCUUAGCAGUUGGCUGUCGGUGACUGACAUGUUGGCUGUCCCCGUUCUUCAACGGCCUCAUUGACGUCAAACGUAGACCGGCGAAAGGAGUUCUUAAAUACCGAUGAGAUUAAUGCGGAUAAUCUCAAAACACUUAGACUAAAUUACCCUUUGAUGAAAUAAAGACAUUUAUUUACUGAACUCAAAUUCGAGCUCUUCUCCAACCUUCUACUGGUCCCACGAUUAGAUUUUUUUCUUUUGGUAAAAUAAUGAAGUGUGAAGAAGCGCUGAACUUCCCCGAGCCGAGCUGACCUGAUGAGUUCGGCGUGCUGAUGAUGAGAACGUAUCCCAACCCUGCAAAACAAACAAGAAGUAAUCUCUAGGGUGACCAACUGGGGAGCCCCGAGGUGGUCCCCGAGGGCACUCCGACGGUCAAGUUAGUCUUCCGGUGGGAGGGAUUCACUGGGGGUAAAACUACUAGGAGUGUUUUGCCAAUAGUGAGCGUACCUUGUACAGUUGGUGUGCGAUACCAUUUAUACCUGCUUGUGAGUCCGACCUCCGUAUGUUUCGGGACCUGCCCGGGAUAACCUCAAUCCCGCGCUGAGGGGGAUUCUCCCCGCCCUCUGCGGGAUUGUUUUCCGGAGCCUCUUGGAGCCCUAGUGGUGAUGUACCCCAGGACGGUUGUCAGGGCCCAGCUCCGACCUUCCUGGGCUGCCACAUGUCUAGGCCCAGGACGGGGCCUCUGCACUAGCCCCCUGGAUUAGGUAGGGCUUCCAGGCAGACCUAAUCUAUACCCCUGCCACGUGGGAGACCAGCACUGCGCACUGCUUUAACAGGGUCACCUCUGGUACAGUGCUGUCCCUGAAAAGCCGCGCCCACGUCCUUUCAGUUGUCGCGUCUAUUCGGUCUCCGUACCGCUCUUAAAUGCAUUCACAUGGGACGGUUCAAAUUCGAGCAAACCGUUUUCCCCCCAUUUCAUCCCCUAUAAAUAGGGGUUGCCAGAUUUCAUCCGACUCUAUUUGCCAUUUUCUUUUCUUCGUACAUUUUUGCAUUCUCUGAAAUUCCAGCGGCAAGACUUCCGGCUCUCCGUGCCCAGAUUCCGGCGAUUCCUUCAUUUUUUCCAUUCCGUUCAUCAGUAAGUCCUUUUCCUUCACCCUUUGUUCCCUUUACCAUCUUUUACUUUUUAUGUCAGAUCAGUCCGGCGUGACUUCCCCCACAUUUCGUAGAACCCUUAGAAUCCUCAUUUCCUCCUCGUCUUCAUCCUCAUCUUCAUCUUCUCCCCCUCCUCUUUCUUCUUCCUAUGCUUCCAAUUCCAGCUUCCAAAUCCCUGACUUGCUAGAGCCCAUAGUCAUCAUGUGCUCUCCCUCUACCUAUUCUCCUUCUGCCCGAAUGCUGGAGGAGGUGGCCGAGCUUGAUGCCCUCAUCGAGCAGCAGGCCACAUCCGUACCCCUCCCCCCGAUCCCCCCAUGACUCUCCUGGCGGAACCCAGGAAGGGGCUGGUGGGGACAGGCACUCCUCCGAGGGGAUCCAUGCCUCCGAGUAGGGGGAUGAUCCUGAAUUCGACUACGGUCACCCCGACCAGUAAGAGAUCACCCUCUCCCCCGAGGAGGUGGCCGAGCUGGCCGGAUCUUUUUCCAUUCCUCCGGCCUUUGAGCCGAGGGCUGCCGGACCUCCCCCUGGCUUUGUAGCCAUCUAUAGGGAGCAACUGGUCGCGGGGCUCCGGCUCCCCAUUCCCUCAGUUCUGGCCGAGAUCUUAAACUAUUGGGGGCUCAGGAUCACCCAGGUCCACCCCAACUGGAUCAGGAUCAUCAUUGGAUUCCUGAUCUACUGCCAGAUCUGCUCCAUCCCCUAUUUUCUCUCCCUCUUCUGAGCCUCUUACACUCUCAAACUCUCCCUUUCUGGGUGGUACUAUUUCUCCCGCCGAACUGCUAACAAAGGUCGAGGUGGGAAGGGCACCCAGGAUCUUCUCUUCGGGGUCCUCUCUUCCAUAAAGAACUGGAAGGGGGACUUCUUCUUUGUUAAAUCAACGCAUUUUCCCCCUAAUGUGUGGAAGGUUGGGGAGGUCGUCUCCGACCCUUUUCCAGAGGACUUGGAUUCUGAAACCCUCAGUCAGCUGGUGACCUCCAAGGUGAAGCUCUACGCGGCCAGAUUCUCCACCGAGCAGAUAUCUGCGGCCGGACUGAUGGGGACGAUGUCCAGGUCCCCUGGAGAAGUGGUGCCUUCCCCCUCAACUACGACGACUGUAAUGCCACCUCUGUGCUCCCGUUGCCUGUUGUUUUUUUUUUCUUUUUUUUACCAACCUAUUUUUGCUAAUCUGGUGGUGUUUGCUGCAGUGAGGAGGUUUUCCAAAUUGUUGGGCACGCCCUCCAAGCCGGUUGCCCCGACUCCGCAGCCGGAGACCGCUAAGAAGGCCUCUGAGGCCGCUCCGACUCCCGGGGGCAGCUCAGGCCCCCAGAAGGAGGCAUCUCACUCCUCCCCCUCCAAGCAGGUCGCCAGUAAGAAGAAAGCGGCUGGGCAGAAGAGGGGCCGAGGGGACGAAGCCCCGCAGCCCGAGAAGAGGCUUGCGCCCACCUCUGCACAGCCCCCUUUCCUGCUGACGUCGGGGGGCGUCCCCCAUGCGGGUCCGGUCCACUUGGGAGUCGGCUCCGCGGAGGAGCACACGCGGGAGAUCGCCCCCUUGAAGCCGGGCCAGGCCCCCUCCAUGCAUGACUCCCGCCGCUUCUGUCCCUCCUGGGGGCUGUCCAUCAACGACCGAACUCAGUUCCCCGAGGUGGCUCGGGAGUUGGUAACGGGCUCGUUCCUUCCGCGCGACAGGAGGUGGAUGGAGCUUGCCAACCCGUCCGAGCUCCAGGAUAUGUACUUCACCGCCCAAACUCAAGUAAGUUCCUUACCCCUUUGGCCAGUUGUACCUCCACUCUUCGGCUAAAUCACGAUGUGCUAACCUCUUUUUCCUUCACCUCAGGCCAAUGCUGCCGGUGCUGCCUUGGUGACCCGCUUCUCCGAGCUGUCUCCCGACUUGGAGAAACUGCAGAAGCUGAAUCGGGAGACAGAGCAAAGGCUCGCCCAAGCUCUUAAGGAGACGGACUCCCUUAAGGCCAAGUUGGGCCAGGCCGAGAAAGAGCUAGAGACGGCUCAGGUCCAGCUCAUCUCCGCCAGGUCAGAGCUAGACCAGGAGAAGGCCGGCGUGGAGAAAUUGAGGGCGGACCACGCCAUCGAGCUCUUCGACACCGUCAGCCGGGAGCGCAAGAAGGCCGUUCGGGAGUUCAUCUCUUCCGAGCGAUUUGCCGAGGAUGUGGCCCUCCUCAACCAGCCCAUCCUCCAGGUCGGUUUCACGAGGGCCCUGGACCAGGUGAAGGGUCUCAACCUGCCUGGCUUCAACUUGGUGGAUUUUAAAGACUACAACCCCGCCGCUGAGGAGAAGUUGGACUGGCUCUUCGAUGGGUAUUGCAAGGGGCAUGCCCUGAAGGAUCUGGUGGGCAGAGAUGAUGUAGGAGCCGAUCUGGCGGAGGUUCCCUUGGAGGAGGACGAGGCUUCCGGCAGAGCUUCCGGGAAGGAGCCGGUGGCUUAAGGGUGUUGAGGGGGACGAGCUGUACAUAGCCAGGCUUUCAUAUCUGGGGUAGAGAGAAAGCUUAUUUUUUCCCAGUGUGAAGGGUGCGGAUAUCUAGCAUCACCAACUCUCCUAGUAUGUAAAACCUGCUGCCGUGUUUUCCUCAUGUCAGCAGUCACCUGCAAGAGGUUUGUCCGCCUAAGGGUAGCGACCACUUCAGAAACCCCUUCUAUUUUCCUUUUAUAGCUCGGUAGACUUUGUAAUAGAUAUGUUUCGAAUGUAUAUAAGAAAUAGCAUUCAAUGAAAACUGCCUAAUUCUGACUUUCAAUUUUUGCUUGCGUCGAGCCUUGAUAAUCGUAGUGGUCUGCCGACCUCCUGGGUCGAGCAUCGAACUGAUCCACCAAGACGAUGUGCCGGCCUCUCGGGUCGAGCAUCUAUCAAGCUUUAAGCUAACAACUGAAUUGUCAAGGACAACAUACUAAGGUAUCAACAAACUACAUCAGACUAAUUAGCGACGUGCCGACCUCUUGGGCCGAGCACCAAGUUUUAAAGGUAGCCAUGCCGACCUCCUGGGUCGAGCGUCAGAAUUUUAAAGACACUCAUGCCGGCCUCUUGGAUCGAUCACCAAACUUUAAAGGCAGCCCUGCUGACCUCCUGGGUCUAGCGUCGAGAUUUUAAAGAUAGUCCUGCCGACCUCCUGGGCCGAGCAUUGUGCAAAACCAACUCGCGAUGAGCCGACCCCCCGGGCCGAGCACCACACUUCCAGAGCAGUCAUGCCGACCUCUUGGGUUGAACGUCGAACUCCCGGAUUUCAACAAACUACAUCAAAAUAGUUUAUGACAUGCCGGCCUCUGGGGCCGAACACCAGACUUUACAGCUUUAAAGGCAGCCAUGCCGACCUCCUGGGUCGAGCAUCCACUCUCAAAUUUUAAGGCAUUCCAUCCGUUACCAUUCAUCCCCAACCCCCCACUAGGACACUUAGCAUUAUCUGAGUGUGCUAGUGUAGGACCUAAACUUUAAAACUAAACGGCGUUGGUAAAAGGAAAGUUAAAAGUCUGACAUUUAUUCAAUGACGAACGUUUACAAGAAUUCUGAAGAAUAGACUACCCUGGCCCAAUCUAACCUACGAAUAAUCGCAAGUUCGAGAAAUGCUAAGUGCGGGGUAUUUCCACUGCAUCUAAUUUCGCAAGCUUGCAGUAGCCGGCUCGGCUUGUUUUCAGGACUUUGUACGGCCCCUCCCAAUUAGGGUCGAGCUUGUUGGAACUAUGGGCUCGGCUGAUGGAGUUCUUUCUUAAGACGAGGUCUCCUGGCUGAUACUGCGUGUUCCUUACUUUUGCGUUAUGAUAGCGGGCGAGCUGGUUUUUGUACUUAGCCAUCCGUAUCGCCGCUUCCUCGCGCUUGGCCUCCAGCAUGUCCAAGUUACACCUCAACUCUUCUUCGUUGGCUGACGCAACGAAGUUCUGUGUCCGAGGCGAGGGGAGCCGAUCUCCGCGGGCACCACUGCUUCUGCCUCGUAAGUCAGGGAAAAAGGGAUCUCAUGGGUAGCUGUCCUCGGCGUGGUGCGGUAAGUCCAGAGGACACUAGGGAGCUCCUCUAGCCAGUUAGACUAGGUUAGUUCCAACCUAGUCUUCAACCCUUGCAGGAUGGUUCGGUUGACGUUCUCCACUUGACCGUUGGCCUGGGGGUGAUCGACCAAGGUGAAAUGUUGGCUGAUCCCGAGCUCGGCGCACCAGUUCCUGAAAGGGUUUUCGGCGAACUGUCGCCCGUUGUCGGAUAUCAAGACAUGCGGGAUCCCGAAGCGGCAGACUAUGUUCUUCCAGAAAAACUUCUGAAAAUUCCCUUCCAGAGAUAGUGGCCAGGGGUUCCGCUUCUAUCCACUUUGUGAAGUAAUCGAUGGCCACCACGAGGUGUUCGUAUCUCCCGGAAACUCGGGGAAAAGGCCCCAAAAGAUCUAUUCCCCACUGGGUAAAGGGCCAAGGACUGCGGAUGGGGACCAUCUCCCGAGUGGGCUGGUGACGCAGCGGGGUGUGCACCUGGCAAGCUUGGCAUUUCUGAACUAGAGCCGCGGCAUCUCGAAACACUGCGGGCCAAUAGUAGCCUAAGAUCAGGCACUUUUUGGCUAACACCCGGGACCCCACAUGUGUCGCACAUAAGCCUUCGUGAACUUCACGGAGGAUGUAGUCGCCUUCCUCGGGAGUCACGCACUUUAACCAGAGAGACAGAUACGACCUCCUGUAGAGAGUUUCCCCAGCGUAGGCGUAUUUAGCAGCUCUGAGUUGGAGUCAGCGAGUUUCGGUUUUGUCCCCGGGAAGGACACCGGAGUUGAGGAAGUUCACGAGGGGAGUCAUCCAGGUGGCCGAGCUGUCUAUGGCCAAGACCUGGAUCGGGUCAUUGCUUUUCUGCUUGACUACCUCUACCAAGACUUCCUUGCUCAGGUGGUCAAACGAGGAGGACGCCAGUUUCGACAGGGCGUCCGCGCGCUUGUUCUGGGAUCUCAGCACCCGCUCGAUUUCAAAAGUAUCGAACAGGGUUAUUGCCUCUCGUACCUUAACCAGGUAUUUCUUCAUGACCUCCUCCUUGGCUUCAUACUCCCCGCGAACUUGUUGGACUACGAGCUGAGAGUCGCUCCGGAUUCUGAUCGCGGUUAUACCCAUCUGGUGAGCUAUCCGCAAUCCUGUUAAUAGGGCCUCGUACUCAGCCUCAUUGUUGGAUGCCGGGAAGUUGAAUCUGAGCGCGUAGGUCAGCUCUUCCCCGGUGGGCGAGGUGAGCAGCAGGCCGGCACCGCUCCCUUCCUUACUCGAGACCCCGUCUAUGAAUAGUACCCACAGCUCUUCCGGCCGUACCUCCGUGGGCGGAGAGCUCGGCUCAGCCAUGGACAAACUUGUCCCCUCGGCAAGGAAGUCUGCCAAGGCCUGAGCUUUGAUAGCAGUGCGAGACUGAUAGCCGAUGUCGUGCUUGGCCAGCUCGACGGCCCACUUGAUCAUUCUGCCCGAGACCUCAGGUUUUGUGAGUAUCUGACGUAAGGGUUGAUCCGUCAUGACAACAAUGCUGUGGGUUUGGAAGUAAGGUCGGAACUUCCGAGUGGCGUGCACCAAGGCAAGGACCAAUUUUUCUGCCGGCGUGUACCGCGUUUUCGGCCCUUGUAGAGCACGGCUGGCGUAGUAUAUUGACCUCUGAGGCCCCAUGUCCUCCCGCACCAACACCGCGCUAACGGUCUCGUUGCAAGCAGACAAGUAUAGGAACAGGGUUUCUCCCUACUCCGGGGCGGUCAGAGCAGGUAGCUCAGCUAGGUAUGCCUUUAGGUCGGUGAAGGCUUUCUGGCAUUCCUCAAUCCAUUGAAAGUCCUUAGGUGCUUUCAAGAUUCGAAAGAAAGGUAGCCCCCUUACCGCGGAGCGCGAGAGGAAUCUAUUCAGGGCGGCCAUCCUUCCCGUAAGCCGUUGGACCUUCUUGACGUUCCUCGGAGGGGCCAUGUCCUUAAUGGCCUGGAGCUUAUCCGAGUUGGCCCGGAUCCCCUCUCGAGAGACUAGGAAGCCCAGGAACUUUUCCGACUUAACCCCGAAGGUACAUUUCUUCGGGUUCAGCCGCAUCCGGUUUUCCCAUAGAAUGUUCAGGAUUUCCCUCAGGUCGGGAGCGAGCUGCCGGUCAAUUCGACUCUUGAUGAUCAUGUCGUCCACGUAAACCUCCAUGCUCCUGUCGAUCUGUUUCUGGAACAACUUGUUGACUAAACGCUGGUAGGUAGCUCCGGCAUUUUUUAGCCCAAAUGGCAUUGUCCGGUAGCAAUAAAUCCCUUCCUCAGUGAUGAAGGAAGUCUUUUUCCGGUCCUCCUCGGCCAUCUCUAUCUGGUGGUAUCCCUUGAAGGCAUCCAGAAAACACAAAACGUCAAAACCCAUAGUAGAGUCUACUAACCUGUCGAUUCUCGGCAAGGGGAAGCAGUCCUUAGAGCAGGCCUUAUUGAGGUCUGUGAAGUCCACGCACAUCCUCCAGGACUGGUUCUCUUUCUUCACCAGGACGGGGUUGGCUAGCCAGGUCGGGUAGUAUACCUCCAGGAUGAUCUUGGAGUCCAGCAGCUUGCCGAGCUCCUUCUUGAUCACCUCGUUCCGCUCCGGGGCGAAGCUUCUCUUCUUCUGUUUCACUGGCUUGAAGCGGGAGUCUAUGUUGAGGUGGUGGACAGCCAGGUCAGUCGGAAUCCCGGGCAUGUCUUCAACCAUCCACGCGAAGACCUGGGAAUAUUCCCUCAGAAGGGCCUUCAAUCUCUCCUUCUCCUCAGAGGGUAGCAGCGCACCGAUGCGGAGGACCUGGUCAGGCCUGUCCUCCCUCAAGGGGAACUCCUCGAUCUCGUCUUGGGUGCCCAACUGUCGGGCCUCCUCCCCCGGGAUGUAGGGCUCCAAGUUGGUCGUCUGGGCGACCACCUUCUCAUGUCCUUGGAGCAUGGCCAAGUAGCAAGCUCUAACCACUUCUGGAUCUCCAUGCAUCUCGGCUAUCCCUCCCGGGGUGGGAAAUUUGACGCUGAGAUGGAACGAAGAGGGAAUAACCCGGAGGGCGUUCAAGGCGGGCCGACCCAAGAAUACAUUGUACGGGGAUGGUUGCUUGACCACCACGAAGUUGACAGGGAUGGCCCGGCAUUUGGGCACCUGUCCUACCGUGACCAUUAGGGUGAUCAUCACCUCCGGGCUGAUAGGCGGUCCAAUGAAGCCCAUCAGGGGUGUCCGAACUAGGGUUAGCUAUCCGUCCUCCAAACCGAGUUUCUUGAACACCCGGUAAAACAGGAUGUCCACUGCGCUCCCCUGAUCGACGUACAUUUUCUUCACCCGAUAGUUAUUUGUCACGACGUCUAUCACGAUGGUCUCGUGGUUUCCAGACGCCAGGGGAAUCGCAUUCCUUGGUCCGAAGGUGAUCUCCUCAUCCAUGCGCAAGCGCUUCAGGGAAUCAUCCCCCUCGGGGGGAGGCCGCCUGUUCUUCCGAGCUGCAUGGUUGUCCCCCCCUGUGGGGCCCCCAGCGAUGGUGUUUAUCACCCCUGCUAAGUUCUGGGUGUCCUGGUCGGGGGAGUUGCCCCGAGGAACGUCACGCCGCUCAGGGCGGUCGCGACGCUGGCCCUCGCCCCUGUCUCCGCGGUAGGUGCGUCCUGACUCCUGGUCUGGUCGAACUUGCCGCACGAAUCGCCCCAGGAAGCCGCGCUGGAUCAGAUCUUCGAUCUCCUUUUGCAGGGCCCAGCACCCCUCCGUAUCAUGCCCAACAUCACGGUGGAAGGCACAGUACCGGUCUUGGUUCUUUUUGUUCCUGGGGGUCCCCAUCUUGGGUGGCUGUUCCCCUAGACCCUCUACCUCCAUGACGGCCAGGAUCUGGGCCCUAGGCCGAGUCAGGGGGUGUAGCCUUUCUCCGGGAGUGGCGGCGGAGCGGGGGCUUUCUCUUUCGAAAGUCGGUCAAAGACGUUCUUUUUGGUCGGGCCAUCCUUGUUCUCGGGGGGGUUUCCCCGUCCCCUCCGGUUUCCGAGCUCCCGAUCUGACUCUCUCUUCAAGCGGGCAGCCUCCUCUGCAUUAGCGGCCGCGUGAGCCCUGGUCAAGAGCUCCUCCAGGUCUCCAGGAGGCUUCUCGGCGAGUUUGUAGAAGAGCUCCUCCGCCUGGAGCCCGUUCAUGAAGGCGGGCAUGACCACCUUUUCAUCCUUGUCCCUGAUCUGCAAGGUCUCCGUGUUGAAGCGGGUCAUGAAUUCCUCAGGAACUCGUCCGGCUUCUGCCUGAUGGCCAUUAGGUGAGCCGCGUUUUUCGAGUAAGUUUUCGAGGAGACAAACUGGGCGGCGAACUGUCUGGCUAGCUCAGGGAAACUCCAGAUGGACCCCGGUGCCAGACCCUGGAACCAGAGCCCAACCUUCCCCUUCAGAAACUUGGGAAAGGUCUUGCAGCGGAUUUCAUCCGCUGCUGUUUGCAGACGCAUGUGCGUCAGGAAGACCGAGAGGUGGUCUUCCGGGUCGGUGGAAGUGUCAUAUAGCUCAAUGUUCGGGAUUUUGAACUUCCGGGGCAGUGGGCAGUCGUCUAUCUCCCGGGUAAAGGGCGAGGUGGUGUAGUUGUCCUUGUACAACCGUGGCCGCAAGAUCUGCUUGAGUUCGUCUCAAACAGGCUUCCACUGGGGAAGGUCGCGCGGUCAGCUUUUGACAGAGCGGUCGGGGGAGCGCUCAAGCUCGCCCCGCGCAGGCUUCCGCGGUGAGGGGUUUCUCGGUCUAUUCCCCGCAGACCGGUCGCGGGAGUACCUCUCGCUAUCCCCGACCAUCGAGGCUCGUGGGCGAGGGGGAGUCCCCGGCCGUUUCCUUCUGGGGGGCUGGUCCCGUGACUCAUCCUCCGAGGGGUCGGGAGGUGAUUCCUUCUCCUUCCCCUUCACCUUGGAGGUCUGCGCGCCCCCGGCUUCGCCUCCCUCCUUCGCCUGCCGGAUCAUAUCUUCCAACAUGGGUAGGUUCUCCGUCACGAACUGAAGGAUCUGCUGUCUCCGCUCUCCUGAGAGGGCUGAGCCUCCGGCGCCCCGAGCCGCCUCGGUCUCCUUUCGCUGGGACCCCUCGCCAGCCUCGGGAUCGGUGGUUUCCAUGGUUCGCUUAGAACGAGUUCUUGCCAUCAACACAACUGCACUUACCUUUCGUUCCCACAGACGGCGCCAACUGAAGAAGCGUUAAGUUUCCCUGAGCCGAGCUGACCUGAUGAGCUCGGCGUGCUGAUGAUGAGAACGUAUCCCAACCCUGCAAAACAAACAAGAAGUAGUCUCUAGGGUGACCAAUUGGGGAGCCCCGAGGUGGUCGCCGAGGGCACUCCGACGGUCAAAUUAGUCUUCCGGUGGGGGGGAUUCACUGGGGGUAAAACUGCUGGGAGUGUUUUGCCAAUAGUGAGCGUACCUUGUACAGUUGGUGUGCGGUACCAUUUAUACCUGCUUGUGAGUCCGACCUCCGUAUGUUUCGGGACCUGCCCGGGAUAACCUCAAUCCCGCGCUGAAGGGGAUUCUCCCCGCCCUCUGCGGGAUUGUUUUCCAGAGCCUCUCGGAGCCCUAGUGGUGAUGUGCCCCAGAACGGUUGUCAGGGGCCUGGGGCCCAGGCCAGCUCUGACCUUCUUGGGCUGCCACGUGUUUAAGCCCAGGACGGGGCCUCUACAAAGUGCAUUAAAUUAAACAAAGUUAGUUACAAUCAUCCGAGAAAAGCAAACUCCUCUGAUGUAUCCCUCGAUAAGAUGUUGACCAUUAAUAGAAUGUUUGUUACAUAUAUAUUCGUAGAGAAUUUUUUAAUCAUUUUGAAAGAUACUUGCUUAAUUGUUUUAUGGUCCAUAACUAAUUUUAAUCGAGACGAGUCGAGUUUCUUUUACAGAGAAUUGGUAUGCUUCAAAAAGAGUGUGGUUGAUUUUUUUUGUAAGCUUUUUGUGGUUUACUCUUUUGGGAGUCCAAAGCCAAUUUAAUGGACAACAAAAGGCAAUGAUUGAAGCCCAUGUGGAGCUGUAACUAGGUAGAUUGGGAGAUUCUGUACAAAACAAAAAAUUGAUUUUGCUUUGGAAUAAUACCUCUCUCGUGUUUUUGAUUGACACAAAGAGGAAAAUUUUUAUUAUGAAACUCAGUGGAAAUCGUCCAAGUCCAACACAACUUGCUUGACAAAAUUAAGAGGAGAGUUCUAUAGGGUCUCAACCAGAUUGCAAGCCUUGGCAUGAAACGCUAAAGGAUAUACCUAACAUCGUUUGGUUAGUUCAGCACCCAUCUUUUAGAGACAUUAUUCGUAAUUUAGGAACAAUCACUUUUUAUACGGAAGAAUUUAGUAUAAAACUUUCGUAAACAAAAAAAAAAAAAAAAAAAACUUUGAUCUAUUAAAAGGUUUUUGAAUAAAAUUUUAAUUAACUUGGCAAUUACAAUGUUUGUAAGUCGUUAUGAGCGAGAAUUAGUUGCGAUGCCAUUGAUUGAUAAUGUGGGCAACAUGUAACCAAAUGAUAAAUGCAUAAUUUCGUGAUUGUGAGGAUAAAGUUGAAAAUCUCAAAAGUGACCAAAAAAACAGUUUAUACCAAACCCAAUGCUUUCCCCUUAUGUAUAGUAUAGUUUAUUCAAGAUUAACCAGUACAUCAUCAACAUUCAGACCUUUAACUAGGUAACAAAAGAUGCAUCGCCUUCAAUGGACAGCAAAUUGGAUAACUGGUUUUGCUUUUUAAUUAUAAGUCUAAUUUGUUCUCUAAUAAGUUAAUUUGUGACUGGACCCUUCCUGAGGCCUGAUUUCUGUGGAGAGUGGGACUAUCUUUUUAUGAAGUUUCAACUAAUCAAUCUUCAGAAAGGCGUAAACCAUCAGGUUUGGUUUAUUUUUGGCAAAUUCCUGAGAUAGGAAACAAAUGAAGCUGCUUUUCUUGGAGCUCUUCAUUUUGUACUAGAGUAGCUGUGUGGUCAGGACUCCCAGAGCCCAGGUCCAGGGUAGCAUAGAUCAGAAAUAAGGAGAAUGGAAGUAACUGUUCUGGUAAUAUGAAUUAGAAUGGAGCAGCAUCUCAAACAAGAAAUUGCAUCCUGCAGUAGUUUAUUCAUGAAAUACAAAGACAAGCAGUAGAAUAACAUCUCCAAGAAAACCACGUAACUUUGCAUGCAAUCAGAAAGAACCAAAGGAAACAGGAUUGUUCAACUACAAAUCAUGAUCAAGAAUAUUCUUCUGAUGCGCACAAGUGACUAGAUAGAACAAUAUUAAUGUCUUACAACACACAUGUUCAUCAGGCCGAAUAUGUCCACAUGGCAAUGUUGCAGAAGAAAAACUAGGUACAAAUCAUCACAUGAGAGCACAAGUAAUAAGUUUUUCAUUGAAUUGUCAGUAAAAAGAAACAACUAAUUUCAAGAAUAUAAAAGAGCGGAAUAAUGCACAAAAUCCUGCCAGACAAAUUGGAAUAUAUCAAGCUAUUCCGAUUUAGCCAAUAAGAUAUCGUAUCUCUGAGGUGAGCAGUUCUCCAGAGUAUUAAGAAACAAACUGGCUAAAUUAUACAUGAUGUUGUGAACAGCAGCAUGAAAACAGAAACCCAUCACACAAAAGGAAGCAUCACGAGUCACUUGUGAAAAGUUCUUAAGCAACAGACUGCGUAAUACAAGUGCAGUUACUAGUUAAAUAGAGAAAACUUUUUCCUUUCUGCUGCGCGUGUAGAGACCCCUGAUUCAUGAGUAACGAUCAGGCUGUAAAAGUUGUUAUACAGAAGUGAUAGUCAUAAAAAUACAAAAGUAACUUGCCAGGCAAUUGUCCAUACCUGCUCUAUGUUGAUAUCAACAAUUCCUAAUAACAAAGCACACUAGCAAACUGGACCAAGACCGUGAAUAGAGUUGCAUUCAUCAAUGAUCUUCAGUUAACUUCUCUAGUUUCAAUGAGACAUGCUUUUGAGUUGUCUUAUGGAUGUAAGAAAAGUUCGUAGCAAAACUAUUAACAGCACCUUGCACAACUAAAUGUCGCUUUGACAGAUAGCGUAAUGGGCUAAUAGCUCAAACACAUGGGAAAGAGCAUAUAGACCACUAAGAUUAUUCAUCAUCGUAAAGCCCCUUACAAAGAGCACACUACCAUACUUCCCUAGAAAAGGUUUAUGAACAAUAAUAAAGGAAAAAUGGAGUUCCAAAAAAACAUAAAAAAGCAGAACAGCAAGAAUCCCGAGGGCAGAUGAACUAUAAGUUAAAUGGUGCUAUUUUCAUGAAAAGAAAACACAAGAAGCAUUUGGCUAUGAAGUUAAAGGGAAAAGAACUAAGAUGUCUCGAAGAAACCACAGUGUGCUUAAGUUGCCUGAAAAUAGUGGCAUACCAUAGACUUGUAUUUACUAGAAGUUGGAUUUAUAUGUCAUGUGCCUCAAUGACAAGUAGCUAGAAAAUUUGGGGAAAUCCUUUCAGCUAAAAAACAAAAAGAAAGAUAACAUUAACUAAUAUGAAACAAAUACAUCACUGAAAACAAGUCAUAGAUCUGCACUCUUCAAAUUGAUCAGGGACCAAAAUUCCUAAUGCUAUAAACAUAGAACCAGGGCAUGCGUAGUACUAAAUAUGACUUGGAUUAAUACGUCUGAACUAGGCUAUUUAACUGCAUGUAUUUAGUUUCCAGGGAAAGAGUCUAGUUUGAUACUUCUGUGUAGUAGAGAAGGGAUUUCUUGUUUGAUACAGUUUCAACGUAGUUAAAAGUGGUACACUUAAACAAGAAGCAAGAAGCCAGUACACAUCUCCCUGCAAGAGGUACAGCAAGAAGUGGUAUACUUAAAGGACGACUACAACAGGUUCUGAUACAUCUCCCUGCACUCAAGCUUGCGUGCCAGUACACAUGGAUAAAAUAUGGUAUUUUGACUGCAUGCACAUAUUUGCAAAAGUUUUACUCUGUAGUAUAGUACCAGACAUAAACCUGGUAUACAAGUUCAUGCCCAACAUAAACUUCUUCUGAGGUCCAUGACUAGUGUGUCCCUAUAUGUAGACAUGCAUGAUCAAUCAUCCCUAUGAUCAUGAGCACAAUUUCAGCAAGGAGACAAAUAGUUCCAAUAAAUUGUACCUGUCAAUGUGAAACCUUCAUAGUAUUCCAUAUACUUUUCCAUCCAAAAUGCAUCUUACAUGUAAAGCAGUUACAUGAGGUUACUAUUAAGUUGCAGCCAAGUGCUCAGUUGGUAUUAGAUACAUGUGCAAAAUUCAAAUUUUGUACUCUGUCAUCAAGUCUGUAACUGAUAGAAGUGCAUCUAGGCAAAACACUUUUUUUCCACAGGAAGAAGGUCUUCUGGAAGUGUACACACUUAAGAUGCAUUUCCUGUGGCAAAAUAAAGACUUUCAAGUUGCAGCCACACAUACUUUUAAGUCAUUUUACUGAUAACCGUUUUGGUAAAGUAAAGCAACCAAAUGUCAUCCUAAUAUAUCCACCAUAAUAAAAUACCAGUUGCCCCUCUUCCUGCAAAAGUAAUUAGUGGUCUCGUAUUUUCAUAGAGCACCCUGCUGUAAGUUAAUCAUCACUAAGAUAUGAAGUCAAACUUUCCUUCCUUUAAGGACCUAUAGGCACAAGGGGUUUUGUAUUUCAAGAGUCUAGAACUUUUGCGAGCCCAACCAUGGGAAUUCUCCUAAGACUGCUAGCUAACUCCCAAAUAUAUCCUUUUGGAUCCAUCUUAAAGUCCAGGAUGCUAUCUCUAGGACCUUUAACUUUAACCUGAAAAGUGAGCAUUCAACAAUAAGUUCAUUAUACCACCAGUAUCACCCAAGCACUUGACAAAAUUAUCUUCUCCCAACCUUGUAAUUACCAAUGCUAUUAUCCUUGAAGACACUUUCUAACAUCUCUUUGUCAAGGUUGUACAUAAUCAACAUAGAAUCUCCAUGAAUGUCAGAGUUCAAAGCAACAGCUAUCUUUCAGGAGAACAUGUAAAGGGGAAUAUUGAGGAAAAGGCAAAAGGGGAAGCCUUUAUUAUGCAAUAUAUGCCUUUCUUUAGGUUGUCGUUGAUGGAAAGGAGAUACAUAGCUUUUGAGGGAACACACACAAGCUUCACCUGAUCACUACCGAAGUGUAAUAUUUUGGUUAAUUAUAGUUACCCAACUAAUUUUUUACUCUAUGCAAGUUUCCUUGACAGAGUAUUGGAUAUCCAAUAAAGAGCUCUUUGCUUUGGUUUGUACUCUGGUGCAUAGAUCUCAUGCUACUGAUUUCUCUGGCAUGCUCAAGAUUUUAUCUGGCUCGAUUUAGAUUUCUUCCCCAUGCCUUUUGUCUUUGCUUUCAAGAACCAGUUGAAACUUGAAAAGUUGACAUAUCUUUGAUCUUCUAGAUAUACCAAAGACGCAUCCACAACCUGGUCAUCCUGUAGUGACACAUACUACCUGCCUCCCAUAUCCAGUAUUUAGAGAAAAAUGAGCAGUCUACCAAGUCAUAAUAGCAUGUCCCACUAUUAUAUCAUUUUCUAAACCAAGAACAUGCAAGCUAGAGAAUGGUCUUAUUCCUAGACUGGAAAUUGGCCAGGUACCAUGUAUGGAAUAGAUUUGGAACUCAGUUUCUAAGUAAAUACCAGUCAAGUAUAAAACCGAGUAUAAAUGCAUGGCUGUGAAAGGUCCAUGACAUAAAGAGGUGUAUAAGACAUUGUUCAUAUGGCUUUUUUUUGGGGGGGGGGGGGGGGGGGUGUUUGUAGGAGGAAAAAAAUUCAACUUGGAACCAGUUAAGUUCAAUAGCCAUUUUCUACUACCUUCACAAAUCUUUAAGAUAAAUAACUGCAGAGAUAAUUUGAGAUCUUACUUUAAUUACCAAUUUACUUGUCCAUUUAGUGUGUGGUUUAUCUGGGUUAUUACAUUUAUGCUAAAGUAUGUUAUUCUCCACAAAGGUACCAGAUGUGCCAGAUAUAAUAAAGAAAGCAGAUACACCAUAGAUGCAACAGAAUAUGCAUCGAACAAGUGCCAGAAUUUGAAUAACAAUUGUUUGUUCAUUAGUUCCUUUUCCAUUCUUGAGUGUGAGGGAGUCAGCUUACUUAGGUGUUUAUACCCCAUAAGCACUAGAAACAACAUUCUUCAGUUAUAACAAGCAGGAUAGCUGAAAAACCUUGCAUAGUCAUCUUGAGAUUUUGUUUUUACCAUACAAAAAUUUCAUUCAACAAGAAGAGGAAAAUUUACAUUGCAUCAACUUAAUCUCAAGGUUGUACCAACAAUGAUUUCCAAUUAACAAAUAUUCCCUACAGCCAUUUUGCACGACAAUGAUCAAUACAUGAUGAGACCAGUAGCAUGGGUAGCCAAACUCUAAACAUUUGGAGCGGUUUGCAGGUAUCCAAGUCCAAAUUACUAGACUAAGAGAAUUAAACAUGCAUUAUUCCUUUCACUGGUUUCCACAUGGACUGAUUUUUCUCUGCAAUAUAUGAACAAUUCAUAGGGUGACUCAAGGAAACAGAAAAUCAUAACUCCUACUUAUAAUACAGCUUGAACUAUCAAACCUAAACAUGUGAAAAACAUGCGCAGCAUAUACCAAGAUAGAGCAAAGCAUAUGGAGGCAAAUGCAACGUACAUAAAAUAACAACUAGCUAGGUUUAUUACUGCAACAAUGAAAUACAAUUGUCACAAAACACACACACCCCUUUGAAAUUUUUUGUCUUUACAGAUAUCAUUUGGUUUCCUUACAGAGAAUCCGAAACAACACAGGGAUUUAAUAACCUCUCUUGCCAGUAGGAGUUCAAGCUAAGCAUCCAAGUUCUCCAUCUGAAUGCUGCUUUUGAGAGGCACAUACUCCCCAAGAUAUCCACCAAGAUGGUCAUAAAGAGCACUCUUAUCAAUUCCCUGAUGAUGAUAGCUCUUACAAACAUAGUAAAACACGCUUUGCACCAACAACCCCACAAGAUUGACAAUCACUAACACCCCAACCAAGAAUCCACCAACCAAAAUUCUUGGCAGCACACCAUAAGAGUCCCCACCAUGAACCACAAUUGAACCAAAAAGGGCAUUGAUCACCCCACAAAUUGCCAAAUACCCAAAAACAAGCCCAAAAGCAAUCCGGGUUCUGCCCUUGAGCAGCUCAUAGCUCUUUUUCAUAGCCGCAAAUCCAUAAACAGGCUCAAGAACAGACACCACACUAGCCAAAUGCCACAAUGCGCUUAUAUAAACAUGAACCACCAAAAACAGUACAAAAACAACCACCAUCGAAAACAAAAACAAAGGCACAUUUUCGGUAUCCACAGCUAUAAUCAGAAGCACAAGAAACCCGAUAAAAAUCACGUUAUAAAUCACCAUAGUGAGUGUAACCCACAUGAAAGUAACGAAAAGCCUCUUAAAAACAGAAGGGAUGGCUGCCAUUGUGGAGGAGAAAGACACAGGCUUGGAAGUGUAAAGCGAGGCAACAGUGAAGACUACAGCAGCCGUGGAAAGAAGGGAGAAGGCAAAGAGGAAGAUGAGGUAACAGAACUGAAAAGUCAGGAGCUUUGUCCAUUGGGAAGUGUGAGAACCAGCAGGGUCAGCUUGAAGCUGAGAAAGUAUGGGGUGAGUGAAGAGGGAGUGGGCUAAAAUGGCAAAGGAAAGUGGGAAGAUUAAGGAAAGCGUGAUGAGGUAAAAGGUUUUGGGAGAUUGUUUUGGUAUUGAAACUGAUUCUUUUAGGAUGUCUGGUAUGGUCAAGAAUUGGAGUUCUUCCAGAGACAGAUCCAUAGCUGUUUUCUGAUGUUGACUGGAUAGAUAAAUGGAUGGACGGAUGGAUGGAUUCUUGAGUUUUCAGAACAAAUAUAUGAAUUUGUCUGGAAAAUUACUGGGUUUUUCUUGAGUUUCUAUGUGGGGUUAAGUAAUCCUGGGAUCUGGAAAUUGGGUAGGAGGAAAGUAAAGGAGAUGAAGAAGAAAGGAAGAAACAAGAAUGAGCUGAAAAAAAAAAAAAAAAAAAAAAUUGGUGGUAUCAGAUAUGAGCUACUCCGCUAGUUUGCUUCUUGAUGGGAAUUUGGUUCACCGCCACUUGCAAACAGUCAAUUCCUUUGCGUGUUUUUAAUUGUUGGCAAGUAAAUUGUUCCCCUCGUUCAUUGAAGAAGUGCAUCAUUUUUGGAUAAAUUACACUUAAUUCCUCUAUAUUCAUAUGCUUAUCUUAGUUGGCACACUCAAUUUUGUUUAUCAGAACGAUUUAGAAGGGGAUUGACAUUCACAUUUUCACUCAAUAAAUAAUGGCUAACUGAGAAGUGCAAAUAUCACCUCUUAUUCAAAAUGGGUUCAUACUGAUUUUUCUGAUACAAUUAGUACACUAUGUCUACCUUUACCCUAUUCCUUUAAUUUUCUUGCCAUUUCAUUUUUUCAAGCCAAUAAUUUUAAAACAUUAUAUUACCUUGAAUGAUCCUUUAUUUACUUUAAUUCAUUGUCAAUUUUGGUGCAAAUUUUUAUCAUAAAUUAUUCACUAAUAAUGAGCUAUAGUAGGGUAUCUUUAUACAAACUACAAACAUUAGAUAGUCAAUUGAAUAUCCCUUAAAAAUAUAAACAAUCUAAUAAAUAACCUUUUUGGGUUAUGAUAGGUAAUUAGCUAUCGAUUUUUACGAUCAAAGUAUUACAAUUAUCUUCAUAUUCUUUUGCAGAGAAUGGUUGAAAAUUCAUUUAUUUUAUAAAUCAUUAUUAUAAAUGAAAACAAAAUAUAAUUAAGAUGUCACUAGUGAAAUAAUUUAUAUUUAAAAAUAAAGGAAAGACAAGCGGGAAAAAAUAGAGCGAAACAAAAGGAAAAACAACUGAAUACUUCUUUUAUGAAGGUUUUAAAAAGGGGUGAGAAGUCAUGACCAACAAAAUUGGAGGCACGAAGUGAGAUAAGGGCAUAAAUACAAGGGGGUUGAGCAUAAAGGUGUUAAUGGGCUUGGAGGCGAUUAAGACCCGAGGAAGCCUGGUCUGAAAUUGGGUCGGGCAAAUUGUAUAAGCAGUAAAUGUUGACCAAGUGGCAAAUGCUGGGAUCGACAUCAUACAAUGGACCAAACCGUACGUCGCUUUUUCCAUUGUGCGAGUGAAAUUGGGAGGCCUGCUAACAUUUCCGAAUGAUGGAUAAGGUUCUCAAUACUUAGGUUAUAAUCCGUCAUACCUAAUUUGUACAAUUGUAUAAUAGAAGUGCGUAAAUGCUGUUGACAUUUAUAAACGUCAGUUGUGUCAGAAUUACGUGACGUGAUUUUUUUUUUUUAAUAGAAUAGAUCGUUUGAUUCAAAUAAAUACACAUUAAUGGCAAAAAAUACACCCAACAAAUACGAUACAGAUACAUAUAAAUCUGAAAUCAAUAGAUAUAACAAAUCUAGCAAAAUAAUAAUUCAAAUAAAAAUAACAUUGAUACUCCUGUAUAUCUUUCAUUCGGAUGAAUCCUUGUAACCUAAUACAUCAAUGCAUGUCUGCUGACAAUCAAAUCUGAUUAAAACUUGUUCAAACCUAAAAAGAAAUUUAGAUCGGACAAUAAUGAAGAUAUUUCAAAUCUAAGAAAUUAGAUUCUAGAUUUACAAAAUCUCAAAUUUCACAAAAAUAAAAACCCAAAAAACGCACACACAGAAAAACCCAGAAGAGAGUAAAUCAAUGUUUGAAUUUAUUAUAUUUAUGACUAAAUCAUGACUAUAAAUUAUAGGGAGGGUCGUCUCUAAUAAGUAAUAACUCUUCCUGACGCUUGUUCGAAUGGCAUUAUGUAUACGAUGAUGAUGAUUAUGCAGUCAACGACUAAAGUUAGUCUAGUGAGAAUUGAUGAAUUCUUAAGCCCUUAUACCAAUGGCAUCUUAUUUUUUUCACCUUCUAAUUUCUUUCGGAGUCUUUCCCUUGUAUGAAGUAAAAAGAAUGCUCAUAUUUAGAUUUACAUGGUGUUAAUUUGUGAACUUGUGGAUAUAAUUAAGAAAGUUUAUUGCAAAAAAAAAAAAAUUAGGAUUGCCUGAAAAUUGCAUUAGAAGUUGGAAUAGUAGAAAAUAAAAACAGUUUCAGGUUCGACUUCUAGAGCAUUAUCUUCCAUUUUUUGUCUACAUCUGUUUCAUUUGGCUAUGUGUGUUUUCUGGAUGUGUGUGUGUAUGCGUGUUUUUUUUUUUUUUUUUUUUAAAUCCUGAUAUACCAUCUAAUAACAUUAACGAAUAAAUUUCUCUGGUAUCAUCUUGUUUUGAUUGAGUAUCCUUCUAUAGUCCUGGGUCACUUGUGUUUCCCAGACACCAAUCUGUUAAAUUCCGAAAAAACCAGGUUGACAAAUUCUGCAUUUUUUCAGUUAAAAAAAAAUUUUACAGUGUAAAUGGGAAUUAAAGACAUCUCACUUGAUACUCCUUUCCUUAGGGAUGGCGCGAGCACCCGCUCCGUGGGGGCUAAUGGAAUGGGGGGAGGGGGAAUUUUUUCCCCUCGUUAAUAAACGAGGCAAGGAGCAGAGGAGUAUUACCCCCGCUCUGCCAUCCAUUAGAAAAAUAAAAUGUUUGGGUGUAUAUAAUUGGUUAUAAAUAUAUUAUUAGUUAUAAGUAUUAUAUAAUGUAUAUUAGUAUAUAUAACAUUAAUAAUUAUACAUAUAUAUUAAUAAAAAUUAUUAAUUAGUUAUACUCAAUUUAUUAAUAUAUUUGUAUUAAAUUCCUAAUGACAAUUGAAGUAGGAAAUUAAAGACUUGAUGACCAAUGACAUGUUUUGGGAGGAUGAUUUUUAAAAUUCAAAAAUGAUAACUUGACCACUUUAGUUGUAUCUAUCUCAUCAUGUUGAAUUGUAUUCAAAUAACUUUUAUUUGAUUAUUUUUAUGAAUUUCAAUUGUAAAAUUACAAUGAAUAAUGACUUAAUUAUAUGUUAGCAUUUUAAUUUCUUGAUUUUUGAUAAAAUUUUCAUUAUAAUACAAUUAUAGGACAAAUUUUUAGUAGCUCCCACAGGGCACCUGUGGGGGAAGCGGCAUUGGGUGGGGGCAGGGGAGACUAGUGGACAGCCUCGUCCCCACCGCCGCCCCGUUACCAUUCCUGCCUUUUCCCUCAAACCAUUAAACUCAUCCCUCUCCGGCUCUCCCCCACAAAAUUCUGCAUUUGACUAGCCAAGAGUAGUAAUUGCAAUAUGUGUUUCCUUAAUUACUGUCGAAUAAAAUGUCACUUUCCUUAUCGUCAAGAAUCAAAAGACAACUCCGAGGGAAAACCCCAUGGCCAUGAUGAUUUUCAUGUUGAUCAUGAGUUCAUGACUCAAGAUCCAAGAACUUCUUUCCAUGCGAUCCAAUUUGACAAGGGUUUUUGGUAACUCUAAAAUGGAUUCUUAUAGUAUUAUCAGUCAUUAGUCACAAGGUUAGAUUUUGAUCCACUAGUUAUCUUAUUAUUUGUCAUAAGUAUGAUGUAUUAAACACUAGGAUAUGAAACUUGUAUGCUGAAUUCAAAAAAAAAAAAAAAAAUGCUUCUUUUAGAUAUUGUAAUGGAAACGAGAAUAUGAGCUUUUAUGACGAUGAUAAUUGGCAGAUUUCUUCACUGAUAAUAUUAUUAUCAUCCAAUGAUCUAAAUCUUAUUAAAAAAGUAUUCCCACAGUUUUUUGCUGCAACAUUCUGACACCAUACAAAAUUACUGGAUUUGGGGCAGUAUGACCGUCCCUGCACGGUUAAAAAUUUGUGCGGCUGAAAAUUGGCCCUCAAAAUUUUGUGCGGCUGAAAUAACACCAUGUAACUCGAAAUCCGCGCCAAGUGUGGGGCCCACCACUAUCUGUUGUGAAAAUACAUCCUGUGAAAAAAAAGUUACGCGCAGUUGAACCAAUGUUACGCGCAGUUGAAAUGAGCUAAAAUUGGCAGGGACGGUUGCAGGUGCAACCGUCCCUGCCCCGAGUCCAAAAUUACUCCAUGGUUGUCGCAUUUUAGAAAUGUGGCGACCCUAAAUGGGGGGCACAAUCUUGCAGAAUACCAAAAUUGUGAUGUUCUUUGAAUUCAUCAUUAUUUGUAGAAAUUCGCCCUACUAAUUGCUAUUAGGCUGUAUAAUUAAUAUCGACUCUUCAUUUUGUCAAAAAUUGUAAGGCCUAAUAGUUUUGGAAUGCAAAUAUACUAAUAUGGAUAUACGUUUGACCACACAAAAUUGGAGUUCGUUCUUCAAGAACUUUUGUGUGGGCAAAAUAUGAAGAGAAUUGGCCUAAUGUCUGUGCCGUUCUAUCAUAGCUAUUUCAUCCCAAAUUACCACCACAUACAAAUUCACACUCGCAGUUUAACCACGAAUUAUUGCUCUUUUUUUUUCAGAAAAAGAAAGAAAUCUUACUGGGCUUCUUUUUUUUUUUUUUUUUUUAUAGGAAAGUUGAUGUUAUGCCCAAAGAACUAGAUAAGAAAUCACCACCAUGAUAUGAUUCACACACACACACACAUAUAUAUAUGUAUGAUUUUGAACAACAAAAGUUACAAUCAAAGCAGAAAACGGAGGGACUUGUCAUUUCUUUCUAGCACUGAGAUCAAUCCAAAGAUAACAUAAAAAAGCUUAAAACGCCAUUAAUGAACUUUAUUACAUCAAGCUAGCCCAUGGCACCUAUUACAUGCAGAGCAAUUCUUGAUCAUGAGCUCAAGCCUUAGUCCUUUGCAGGUGGAGCAAAAGUAGGGGGAUUCAAGAAAGGAUUGGGAAAAGGGAAUAUUGGUGGAAAAGGAAAACUGGGAAAUCCAGGGAUUUUAGGGAAACCAGGAAGUGGAGAUAAACCACCUGGGGAGGGAGGUGGAAGGGGGAAAUUUGGGAAUGGGGAUGGAAAUGGAAAUGGAGGAAAAGGGAUGGGAAAAAGCCAGGUUGGGGUGUUAGGGGCACCAACAUUUCCACUGUCAUCUUUUACCUCCUCCAAAUUUCGAAGCUGCCGAGCACUGCAAAAAUUGCAAGAAAAAUUCAUGACCAAAACCAAGAUUACCAGAGAGAUGAAUUUGAGAGCCAUUUUUUGAGAGGAAAAUGCACCGAGGGGGAGAAGAAAAAGAGUGAGGCAGUGUAACUGGAUUCACCAGCAAAGUGCUUAUAUAGAGGCAAAUGCAGCUCUUACAUUUUCUCUGCCCAGGAAGUUUGGUAAAGAAAUUUGACCCUUUGGUUCCCUUGGUCACAAAAAUUAAUGUGCUUAACUGUAAGAAUUAUUGAGGUUAAAAGGAAGAUAAACUGUGUAAAUUGUGUUAAUGGAUUGCAUGAAUUCUUGAAUGCGUGUGGAAUUCACACUGUGCUAUUUGGCACAUACUAAUCAAACCCUCAACCAUAAAAGUUUGCAUUUAAUUUACGAGAUUGCAUUUGUUUGUUUACAUUAAUGUUUAUUUGACUGUAGCAACAAGAUGACAAAGCGCCACUAUGCCACCAAGAAGGAUUAAAUGACUGCUAUGUUAGUUAUGCGUUUUCUUGAAUUUGUUGUGUCAAAGAAGAAGUGUUCUAUAAUCAAUAUUUUGCUAAAAAAAAUGAAUUUUUUUUCACAGAGAUUGAAAUAUAAGAAGCAUGGAAAAUCUAGAAUGACUAUGAAUUGCUGUUACAACCGUUUACGUUCAUGGCGUUCAUCAGUGUUUGGGUGUUUAUAUACAUAUAUUUUUCACUUUCCUAUGUCAAAUAUAAUUAGUAAAAUUUUAAUAAACACGACGUUGCCAGAUUUCAAAAGUAAAUAUUUUAAAAGUCCAUCUAUGUACUAACGAGUGGGGUUAGCCUAACGGUCAGAGAAGAACUUUUAGAGUUUUUCCUUCUAUGAGGUUCAAAAUUCAAAUUUUGUGUAUGGCAGUUUAUUAAUGCUAGUAUGCUUGCCUAAUUUUAAUUUUGUGUAUGGCUGUUUAUUAAUGCUAAUAUGCUUGCCUACUUUUUAAGAUUACCGAUCGAACUUCUUGUGUAGGAAAUCCUUUACUAAUGCUAAUGUGCUUGCCUACGCAUUAAUAUGCUAAUUCUAAUGCUAAUGUAGUGUUGAGUCUGUGCAAUAAUAAAAACCUACUCAUAAGAAUAUUUAUUCCAAUAUAAUGGUAAGUAGGGUCGUCUCCACAGGAAUUAGAAGAAAAAUUUGUUUCUUUCCAAACAAAGCCAAUUAAGGAGGUUUUAGAAAAUUAAGAUUAAAAUAAAAUACUUAACGAAAAUAACAAUAAUUAAACGAAAGCAAAUUAAAUUUAAAUCAAGGAUCAACAAGCUCUAGUCAAGAAUAUAACUUCGGAAGUGGUUCAUGCAACUGUUCUUCGAUGCAAGAAUUAUUUCAUCUAUUCGAUAAUAAACAGGUUAUGGUUGUCAAACAAACGAUGACAACCAACUUUUUAUCGUCUCGAUAGUUAAGGUACGUCUGCUAGUUACUUCCUUAACAAAAAAAUAACUCUAGAUAAACUCGUAAAAUUUAAUUUCUUGAUUGCAUUAGAAAUUAGAAAAUUCAUGUUCUAAUUAAUGAACACACUACCAAGAUUCAUUCAAAUUAGAUCAUAUGUCUCCCUAACAUGAAACCAAUCACGCUAGUCGCUACUAAUUUAAAACAAUUAAACAAUUAUAGAUUUAACUAUCCUAAUUGACAUUAGUUUGUCAAGUUGAAUUAAAUAUCGAGCUUUUGAUAUUCAAACAACAAAAACACCCAUGAGAAAUUAAAUCAGAAAACAUACAAAACGAAAACAAUUAGAUCUCACAGAUGUAGAUGAAUCAAAUCCUUUGUUAUUUCUCAAUUAGAAAAGAAAACUUAGUUGCGCAUGGCCAAUUAAAACAAUUCACCCUAUUUUUCCAAAGCCAUUCGCACAGUGUUUGAUAAAAGAAAAACUAAAGAAACGAAAAGAAACAUGUUGCCCUCGUUUUCUUUUUCCUGAUCCAAAAGUCACCACCCCCUGUUUCUUGCCUGAGACUAAUCACAUAAAGAGUCCAAAUGCAAUUCUCUAUCUUUUCGGAAGUACUAAUCACUCAGGAAUCCGGCUUUUCUCUCUUCCCAGUUUGCUAGUUCCUGUCAACUACUAAUAAUAAAGACGUGUUUUCUAAAUAGAAAAGAUACUACAAAAGAUAAUCUUCUAUAGGGUUUGUUUGGAUUGUAAAUUAUUUGAGAUAUUUUUACUGUAGCACUUUUGUGAUGUGAUGCAUAUGAGAUAAAAAGAUAAUUGAGAAGAUAAAAAGCUGUAUUGAAAAUUGUAAUGGUGAUGUAAGCAAAUAUAUUUGGGAAAAUAACCUACUAUCCAAACAAACUCGAACUAUAACUAAUAAAGAAAAUCAAAGUCUUCCAAAUCUUCACCCAAAAGCUAUCCGAAGUUCUACUCGGACUUGGAAAUCCCCGUGUGCAAAUUCCAAAUCAUCUGGACUCGAUAGCAAUUCUUGAAAAAUCAUCAAUUUUAUCACUUUUUGCUCCACUUCCCUACGAUUAGCACCAAAUACCAAAUAUAAUUAAAAUCUACCUAAUAAUGCAAUAUUUGGCAAAUACCGAGGGGAAAAUAAUCAUAAACUGAAUAACAAUUUUGCAACCUAUAUCACCUACACAUUAAUAAGCUAAUGCUAAUGUACUUUUUCAGAGUACUGAACUUCUUGCGUAGAAAGUCCUUUACUAAUGCUAAUGUGCUUGCCUACGCAUUAAUAUACUUGCCUACUUUUUAAGAUUACCAAACUUCUCGUCAAAAAUCGGAUUAGUAAAAUAGAAACAGGAAUACAAAACAAAGUUGAUAAAAAAUAAUAUAAGAUUGAUACAGUGUCUAUACAUGUAAUUCCUUUGGAAGUUUUAAAAAAAAUACUUCUUACAUGCAUUUCUAAUAAUACUCUUCUUUUUUUAGUCAGAAACAUACGCAUCACAUCAUAUAUAAAUAUUACUGAAUAAUACCAAAAAAAAAUACUUUUUAAAAUGAUUUUCAAUCAAAAUCUUCCUUUCAUGUUAUAUAUUGUCUACUUUUUUAUUUAUUUAUUUUCUGAUGUUGUUGAAAGUGAAAGGAUUCAAAGGGAGCAUAUUUUGGCAUUCCAGUGAGUGUUAUUUAGGCCUGUCAAUCGGGCCUAAUGAGUCGGGCUUUGAUGAGCUCAAGCUCAACUCAUUUAAUUUGAAACAUUUUCGGACUUCGGACUAUGAGUUUCGGGUUCAUAAAUGUGAAGUUCAUACUCAACUCACAUAAUAUUCGGGUUGUGAGCCUUAAUCGGGUUUAGCCCAAGCUCACUUAUUACUCCUUAAUUUUCUUCAUAUAAUUACUAUAACUAUUAAGUUGUUAAACUAAUUUAACAUUUACAAGACUAUAAUAUUAAAACUAAACAUGAACAAAUAAUAGUUCUUAAAAAGUAUAUAAACCAAAAAUUUUUUCAACAAUAUUUAUAUUUAAUUCGUUCAAAAUGCAUGAAAAAUAGUAAUAAAACAUGCGAUCAUAAGCCAAUACAUCUUUAAAAGUUGAAACUUUUUUUAUAAUCUUGUGAUUUAAAUCCAAAUAUGCUUGAUGAUUUUUGUGUUUGUAGACCAAAAAGAAAUUAACCAAUAUUAUGCCAGUACAAAAAUUUACUCAACCAAUAAGAAAAGUUAGAGAUUUAGUUAUGCAUUACUAAUAUUGGCUCUCAAGAAAGCUCAUGAAAGAGUCUUUAGAUAUAUUUUUGUGUUUUGUAAUUUAUAUAUAUAUUUAGUAUUUAGUAAUAAUAUAUUUGGAUAUAUAAUUAUACAUAAUAUCAAAAUAUAAAUAUUAUAUAUAUAGGUAAUUAAAGGACCGGGCCUAUAUCGGGUUUGAGCCUAAUAAGGCUCAAGCUCGGCUCAUAUUUAAUUCGGACCUUUUUUUAGGCUCAAGCUCAGCCCGACUCACUAAAUGAUCGGGCUCAUCGGGCUUUUUAUCUGGCCGAACGAGCCAAGCUCGGGUUGGUCCAGCCCCAUUGACAGUCCUAGUGUUAUUACUAAUUCGACAUGUUACACCUGCUCAAUAUGAAGAAGUAGAAUUUUUUUCUCAUUUUCCACAAAAUAUUACAUUUUGUUUGGAUUGUAUUUUUUUUGAAUUAUUUGUAAAAAAUUACUGUAGUAAUUUGAUAUAUGUGAGGUAAAAAAGUAAUUGAAAAAUGUGUUCACGAAGAACGUAACAAUUUUCCAUUUCAUCUGUUACUUAAUUAUGAUAUACCAUUAGAUAAUAAUAAGUACCAUUGGGUACACAAAUUAAGUAACCACUAGCCAUUUGGGUUGGUGGCCACCACCAAAGACUUUAAAUUUUGGUAGGUGGGAGGUCAAGUGUACACAAAUUAAGUCGGAUGUUGAGAGAGUUUAUUGCCCUAAUUAUCUAAGUGAUAGUAAACUCCUUUUCUAACUUUCUGACCUUAUUACAAUUAGCUAAAGACAACAUGCUGCUAAUUCAUAGCAAAACAUGCAGAAAAAUAUUCCGCUAGCAACAAUAAGCAUAACAAAAAAAAAAAAAAAAAUCUUCAUGCGGAUCUUUCAAUCAAUUGAUAAUAAAUCAUUUUUCUACUUCAAAGAAAAAAAAAACAAUAAGCAUAACGUAGUACUCAAAAGUGAUGGGAAAAAUCAAACAGAAUCACUUUUUUGAUAUCUCAUUAUUUGGAAAAAUUACUUUGUCUACAUCAUGUACACGUUUCUAAUCAUAUUUUUAUCUUUCCAAUUAUUCCUAUAUUUUUAUAUCAUAUACAUCACAUCACAAAAGCGCCACAAUAGCAUAGUAAAUUCUUUUUAUUUUUUUUUCAAAUAAAGACGUACCCAGGCACUUAUUUGGUAGGAAUUCUGUUGGCUUUAGUUCACCUCCAAAAUCAAAUGUCUGUUUGUGAAUUACUAUUCUAUACGAAAAACUCAUAUAAAGGGUCUAAUUAAUCUUUAUUGGGCACAAUUUGUAGAGUUUCACCCUCCCACGGGGCAUUGGUUUUUUCAGACUUGAAAUUCAAUCGUAAAGUAAGAGGGAUCGUAAGUAGGAGGUUCUGGAUUUAAAAUCCCCCACUUAUACAAAAAAAAAGAAAAAGAAAAAGAAAUCUGAUUAUUUACUUGCAAUUUGGAUUAGGAAUAUUUUCAAUUUUUCGCAUCAAGAACAAGGGCAGAAAAUCUCUGAGUAACGAUUAAGUCCAGAAACAUCAAUCCUACACUACAAAUAUUCAUCAAAGACUCCAAAACAUAAAAGAGGUACGGUUCAGAAGAAUUAAUCUUACAUUAAGAUUAUUAAUGAAAAUAUCAGUUAGGUGCUCCCAAAUUAUCAACUCAACAAAAACUUGCAAAGUUGCAUUCCAAAGGUGAAAGGUAAAAUCAGAAAAGAAACUUCACAAUCAAAUCUAUUUCAUCACAGGUGUAUAUAGUCUUCAACAGAUUCGAUUCGUUGAAAAAUAAAAUUACCAUAAUCCCAAAGCAUCACAGGAGCCAUAAUGCAUUUCUCAAAGCCAGUCAGUAGGUAAUAAAAUACUGGUGUUUCAUAGCCUCUCUCAUUUUUCCUUAAAAAGGAGAAAAAGAGGGGGAUGUUUUGGGGGGGGUUGGGGGUGGUUUGGGGAGAGCAAACAUAAAAACGUCUUAUUCUGGUGUAAAAGAAAUGCACUACAGCAUGUUAUGGAAUGCACUUUAAGGAUUUGUGCAUCUCCUAGACCAGAAGAAGUUCACUUGUUGCUUGAGAAAAGAUGAUCGACUAGUAGUUAACAAGGUUGAAGUUCACCUGACAAAUUACAUUUACACCAAUUGAACGUGUAACAAAGAUACCAAAAUUCUACCAUGUUUAGCCCUUUCAUAUCUAUCGUGAAACAAAAUCAAACAGUGCUAUGAAUAUGCACUAAAAUUAGCUAGAAAUCACAAUAGGAAACUAUGGAAGGGAAAAAUGAAUUUAGCCUACAA